UUUAAUGUUUACCUAAUGCUCCUGUUUUAAGGGCAAUUCAUAAGUUGAUGAAGUUAUGCUGUAAUGACUCUUGGAUUGGGCAUAUGAUUAUUUGAUAUGUUGGUUUAUUCUGUUACCUGUUCGUUAUGUUGAUUCUUGGUUGAUAACUUGAUGGCAAAGGUUGCUGUAUUUUUCUUUUUUGUUCCAAAUAACAUAGGAUGAGUUAAAAGAAUUCAGAGAAUAUGAUGCCAAUAGAAAGUAUGCCACUUUAGGUUCAGUUAAAAAAUGAUGAUAAAAAUAUGCAACAAUAUACUCAACUAUAUCAGUUUUUAUUUUUCGUUUUCGUAUUCCAAAAAUGGGAAAGAGCAUGGCUUUGCAUUCAAAUUUCAGACUCAUUUUCUCUCCUUUUUCUUACCUUUCAUUCUACUCGUUCUUUUCAGCAAUGCUUCCGUACAACCACUAGUAAUUGCAGCACAUCCCCAAGAAGCAAACCAAUUUGCUCUAGGGCUAUCAGAUGGUGGGGUUCAUGUCUUUGAACCUCUCGAAUCAGAAGGAAAAUGGGGUGUGCCUCCACCUGUCGAAAAUGGAUCAGCAUCAAGUGUGCCGACGACUCCAUCAGUCGGAGCUUCAGGUUCAGAACAAGCUCCGAGAUGAUCGAGCAGCUAGCACGAGUACUUUUACAUGCUUGAUUGCUGGCUCUCCAACUUUAGGUAUACUUCAGAUUUUAACUGGUUGACCUUUUUUUUUUUUCUCCUUGGAACAUUUGUUAGCCAUGCUUGUAUUUUGUAAUUUUUUUAUGGUUGAUUUUCCAUUCCCCCCAGUUUGUUGUUCAUGAUAUGUAGUUUUACUCAAGGAAACAGCAAAAAGAUGUAGAUUUAUCUUCUUUCCUCAGAUUCUGUGUAAGUUAACAUUCUGCAGGAGUAUUACUAAUAGCCAAAUGACCUUACUGAUAAUUCUUUCUCAAAUUUUCCUCUUCCUUCCAUGAAAUUAUAUUUGUUAUUUUCCUAUGGUGUCCCUCUUUGACUCCAUUUCUACUUUCUGCUUGUGCUUCUCAUAUUGCUUGAAUUGUUCAGGUUGCUUAUCUGCUCAAAUCAAUCAGGACUUUAUUCCAACGCAACGCUGAGAUGUUUGAGUUGAGUUGGUUUUUCUGUCCAAUUGAAAUUUAUCACGUGUGGAUGUAUAAAACUAACCUGAUUCAGUUAGUUUGGUUGAUCACCUUAGUAGAUAACACAUCAAUUACCAUUAUAAUGGUUGGUGGAUUGAUCUCUAUCACACUGUAAUUUGUUGAACUAAAAAAAGUUGGGAAAUUUUGAAUGAUGAGAACCAUUUGGAUGAUGACUUUAAUGAUCGACCUUUCAAGAACAAAACAUCAUGAAGGAGAAGGGAGAUUCAUUACAAAGUUGGGAGUACACUUUGUUUAAAACCGAGCUCUAUCUUUAGUAAUCGAUAUGUAGAUCUAAGAAAGGAGGUUAUGAGACUCGUAUUUACAUUCAUUUUUUAUAAUACAAUUAUUCAAGUUUGAGGUAGGUUAUCAUUUUCUGGGUUGGUAUGAUCUAGACUGAAUAUGAAACAUCUGAUCUUACAAUGGAUAAAAUCCAUGUUUGAAUAGAUAGUCACUGUCUUUUGUCUCAUUGCACUUAUACAGGUGCUAUAAAAUUAUAUAUCUUGGGAUUACACUCUCUCACUAAUCCAAGAACUUGGCUUAUGAUUGAAUCAUAAACAUUUAGUUAGUUAAUUAGAUGAUCAUUGGGACUUUGCAAGAUGUAAUUACGAUGGUAAAAUACACAUUUAUUUUAACCUUAAUUAUGAUUACUUGCAAUGAUUGUAUACAUGUUCACAUCUUGUCAUAUAGUGCAUAAGUUGCAAUUAUAUACCUUUGGUGGAGUCACAGAUAUAUAAUUAAUUCCUAGUUUGAAGUUAAUGUAAUCCCUCAUGAUUUCUUUUUAAUCUUCUAUUUUGAGAAAGAAAGUUGAUACAAGUCUAAUUAAGAACUCUAAUACCUCCCUAAAUAAAUAUAAAUGUAUUAAGGGUAACUAAAUAGAUUAUAAUGGAUGAUGUAUUUACUAUAAAUAGCUAUAAUUCAUCACAUGAGGUAUACAAAUAUGAAAAUAUGAAUUGAACUCGAAUAACCGGGACUACCCAACCCAUAUUAUAAGGGUUGGGUUGGGUAGUUGGGUAAUUUUUUAUUUUAUUUUUUUGGAUUGAGUUGGAGGGUUGAAAAAUCUGGUUCAACUCAUCCCAAAUUAAUAUAAUAUAUAAAUAUUAAAUAUUAUUUUAAUAAAAAACAAAUUAAAGGUAUAUAAAUCUAGUUUGAAAUUUAAAUAUAACGAUUUCAAAUUUUUAUAAUUUUAGAAAUUAGAAAAUGGAUUUUUUUAAAAAAAGAAAUUAUAUACACAACCCGACAACCCAACCCAAUCUAUAUUUUACGGGUUGAGUUGGGUUGGGUUAGAAACUAAAUUCGGGUUUGAGAAUGUCACUCAACCCAACUCAACCCGAUUUGACUCCUACAUUUCAAGUUUUUAUUAUUUAUUUUUAAGAAAAACAAUAAAAGAGGAUGUUCCAAUACAAGCAACUUUUGUAAAAACAUUUCACUACCUGUCCAAAAUUGGAUACCACAACUACAUCUUUUUAGUCUUUUCAUUCCUUUGUUUGGUACCCGAGAAUUCAACUGACAAGAAUAAAUCGAUGUAACAUGGUAUGAUAUAGUAAAUAUAAACUCCAGUGAUGUUACUUUUAAUUUCACUCUUAAAACAUCAUACCAUUAGAGAUAAUUGUCUUUCCCUUAUCUAUGACAAUCUUGUUAUUAGAUCAACGUGAGACUUUGAUCGCAUAUUCAACACUAAUAUAUAUAUAUAAUAAAUCAUAACCUACAACGUGACAUAAGAUGUCAUGAUCAAAAGCCUACAUUUUUUGUUGUUGUGAUGAUCUACUUUUUGAUGUGCAUAUUACGCAUACAUUCUUCCAUGAGAAAAUAUAUUAUAAUUUUGUUGUUUGUGUGAAACGAGGAUAUCCUAUCUAGUUCAAGUAUAAUGUUACAUGUAAAAAAUUGUGAAUGUUUCAAAUUGACAUCUCAAUCAAGUGUCAAAGAAUUCAUUCAAACCUCAAGGCAUUUAAUGAUACCACCACAUGGAACAAUGCCAAGCAAGCUCAACAAAAGCUCACCAUAAACUCCAUCAGCAACAUGGUUUUAAUUAUCAUUUUGAACGUUGCAGAUAAUGACUUCAAUACUUCAUCAUUAAGCACAAACCCAUCAAGUUUCACCUUGAACGAACGUAGAAGAAGAAGGAAGAUUUGUCUGCCAAACAACAUUGUUUAAAAUUGGAUGGAUUCAUUGUGAUCUAUUGUUCUACUAAAUCUUAAGCCAUAGCUUAAGGUUCUCAAUGGAUAAGGUCUAUGACAUUGGAAAUGUGGCUGCCAAAAACACAAAAUUUUCUGUCUAUGCCAAAUUGAUGAAGCUAUAAGGAAGAAUAUCAUGAUUUUUAUUUGCUUGAGGCCAUCUCUAUUCUUUGCUACAUAUAUGCAAUGGAAACAUAAAAAAAUAGCUCAUAUCAAAUAGUUUCGAAAAAGGAGACCAAGAUUGACCAAAGAAUUCUACUUCCUUUGUUUCACAAAAUAUGGUGUUUAAGACUGCAAACCAUGGUAAGGCAAAGGACAAUCUUCAUGCUUUGUAAUCAUCAAUAUUCCAAACUGAAUCAUAACUUAAGUCUAAGAUUGUUUUGUUACAAAUAAAAAAAAAGAAAUUAAAUCAUUUAUUUGAUAGCUGAGAGUUUGGAAUCACACAUUAAAUAAAAAAUACUUAUUUUCUUUUUAAUGAAAAUUGUUUAAAUUAUUUAUAAAUAUUUCAAAACAAGUUUAAUAGAAUGUUGACGAAAAUUAUUAUUUAGAUUUGUGCAAGUGCGACAUUAACAGGGAUAAAAAUUAAAAUUUAAACAUCCCCCUAACAUUGUGAACAUCAUGCUAUUUUCUCCUCAAUUUUCGUCUACAAUUCUUAAGGAUCUUUAGUGUGAACAAAUUUAAAACAUAUAAGAAAGAUAAAUGAUGGAUUGUAAUAUUGAAAGAAUAGGAUAUUUUUUUAAAAAAAAUAUUACAAAGUUGAGAUCUUUUUAUUAUUAUUUUUAGUUGUUGUCUUGGAAUUACAACACACUAUACACUAGUAUCCUCUAUCUCUAAUAAAUGAUAUUUUACCAUAUUAAUAAAUAUUUUCAGUAGUUUCAUCUAAUUUUAAAAAGUCUAUUUAUUUAUAAUUAGUUUUUGUUAAACUUAAAAUGGGAAGAAAAACAUUUUUUUUUAAAUAAAAGACAUUGAAAAGAAAAAGGAAGAAAAUGGUAAUGAAAUAUCCAACGUCAAGAAAGAAGCUUUACACGCAUGCGCCAAUGGGGAAGAGCACUGAAGCAGUAUCUUCAAGGUUAAGCUAAGCUCAAUCCUUCUUAUUUUUCAUCAUCUUCUUCUUCUUCGUUUUCAAUUCUGAUUCUUACCCUUUUCUUAUCUUCCUCAUUCUGUAGAAUACCCUUCAGCUGCUGACUCUGCUGACUCUUAGUUUUUUCUUAAUUUUAUAUUCAUGAUCCUAGGCCAAGUCCUGGAGUGUUGCAUCUGUGCUCAACUUACCGUUUCUUUCUUGCUGCCUCUUUUUUCAUAUAAUGAAGGCAAAUCUACCAGUAUCAUUUGCUGGUAAUGGUCAUGCUCAAACUUUUAAUGCACCAGAUGAUUUGCCGAAGACUGUUAUGAGAACACUGAAUCAAGGAUCAAAUCCAAUGAGCAUGGAUUUCCAUCCGAUCCAACAAACUCUGCUUCUUGGUAUAUAUAAAUUUAUUUUGUAAUAUUUCGCCCACAGCAGAAUAAUGUAACUGUAGAUGGUAUACUUCUCUAUUUCGGUAUGAUCCCUAUAAGUAAUGACAAAUAUGAAGAAAAUUCUCCUUUCAGUUGGCACAGAUGUGGGCGAAAUAGGGUUGUGGGAAGUUGGAUCUAGGGAGAGACUUGUUUCAAAGAAUUUCAAAGUCUGGCAUCUCAAUGCAUGUUCAAUGCCUUCACAGGUAUUUUGUGUAAACUAAUAUCUUGCAUAACAUCUUAUCUCAAUUAAUGAAAUCUGAGGUUAUCUUGAUGAUUUCCAGGCAGCUCUAGUUACUGAGCCUGAUGUAUCGGUCAACCGUGUUAUUUGGAGCCCUGAUGGUUCUUUACUUGGUAAGAUUGUAUGUUUUCUUGUAAACUUUAUGUUAACAAAGUGAGCACUGUUUGCUGAAUAAAUGUCGAUCUGGUAUAGGUGUUGCCUAUUCAAGGCACAUUGUUCAAAUAUACUCCUACCAUGGUGGUGAUGACAUGCGACAGCACCUGGAGGUGUGUAUGAUUAAGAGUAUUGUAUCUAUUGUUGUGCACUCUUCCCAUCUUUUAGUAUGACACUGAAAUUUGUGAAUCAGAUUGAUGCUCAUGUCGGUGGAGUUAAUGAUCUAGGAUUCUGCAAUCCCAAUAAUCAACUUUGUGUCAUAACAUGUGGUGAUGACAAGACCAUUAAAGUAAGUUAUUUUUUGUCUUAUUUAGGUCAUUUGAGGAAUGGAAGAGGGCUUUUUUUUUUUUUUUUGCUGAAAACCCUUUUUUUUUUUUUCUCUUUUUGAUGUUUAGGUCUGGGAUGCUGGCAAUGGUGCAAGACAAUAUACAUUUGCAGGCCACGAGGCUCCUGUUUUCUCUGUUUGCCCUUACUACAAGGAAAAUAUUCAGGUUUGCCCUCACUACAAGGAAGAUAUUCAGGUUUUCCCUUGAUAUGCAACUUGAGUUUUCGUGAGGCUGCUUGAUGGAUAUCCUGCCUAAUCUGCUACAUGUAUGUUUUUGUCUCUCUUAGUACUUCUUCUCAGCAUCUAUUGAUGGAAGGGUAAAGAUAUGGCAAUGUGAUAAUAUGCGCUCACGAGUUGAUUUUGAAGCUCCUGGACGUUGGUGCACAACCAUGGCUUACAGUGCAGAUGGUACGAGGUGAGUAGUUCUUACUCAAUUGUGUUGAGAGGUUACUUGGACUUGCCUUUUUUUGCCCCAUGGUUAAGAAGCUUACAGCAUGGGCGUUUUAGGAUCUUCUCAUGUGGGACAAGUAAAAAUGGAGAGUCUUAUAUUGUUGAGUGGAGCGGAGGAAAUGUUCAGAGAACUUAUCGAGGGUUCCGCAACCGAUCUCUAGGUGUUGUACAAUUCGAUACGACUAAAAAUCGAUUUUUGGCUGCUGGUGAUAAUUUCUCCAUUAAAUUUUGGGAUAUGGACAAUGUUCAACUUCUAACAACCGUUGAUGCUGAUGGGGGGCUCCCAGUAAGUUUUCACGCAAGUAAACUGAAAAUUUAAAACUAUAGUUGACAGUUGCUUAUUCUUACUUUGUCCUUUUCAUUCCCUUAAAAAUCAUAGGCAUGCCCUCGCAUCCGCUUUAAUAAGGAUGGCACACUUUUAGCUGUUUCUGGCAAUGAGAAUGGAAUUAAAAUCUUGGCCAAUGUGGAUGGAAUGAGGCUGUUAAGAACAUUUGAUAGUCUUUCAAAUGACCUGCUACAACAUCUGAGGCUGGGACAGAGUUAGUUUGAUUGUAUGUCUAUUUGACGUGACUCAUCACCAUGAGUAAGUUAUGUACUCUUGUUCAUGAGGUCUUUUUAUUUGCAUUGGUGUGAAUAAUCUGGAUAAUCGAUGUAAUCAGGCAACCAUCUUGGGGACUUGAGCAAAUUGGAGCAUGUAAAUUACCCUUUUCCAUAUAGGGUAAGUGCAUGAGUAGUUUUAAGGGUUGAUUUUAGGACUUGAAUAAUGAAGUUAUACUCUCUGGCUAAUCCAAGAAGGACUUGGUUUAUGAUUGAAUCAUAAAUAUAUGGUUAUAUAAUGAUUAUCGGGAUUUAAAGUGUAAGAUGUAAUUAAAAAGGUAAAACAAAUAUUUAUUUUAGCUUUAAUUAUGAUCAUUAGCUUACUUGCAAUGAUUAUGUACAUGAACACAUCUUGCAUAUAGUGCAUAAAAUGUAUUCACUAUAAUGUAAUCGUUUAAGGGUAACUAAAUAUGUUAGAAUUAGGAUUAUGUAUUCACUAUAAAUAGCAAUAAUUAAGUUGAAUCUUUGUCUUUUUAAAAGAAAAAUAAUAAAAGAAAAUGUUCUAAUACAAACAACUAUUUUAAAAAACAUUUCUAUUAUAAUUGUGUUGGGUGUGUAUGAAACAUGAGUAUCCUAUCUACUUCAACUAUAAUGUUAGACGCAAAAAAUUGUGAAAUAAACGUGAAUGUUUCAAAUUGAUAUCUCAAUCAAGUGUUAAUAAUUUGGAGAAAUAUGUGUAAUAAAAAACAUAAAGUAAAACAUAUCUUCUCAUUUUACAAAGAAUUGUACGGAUACAUGACUUAAUAAUUCAAUUAAAGUGUCAACAAUGUGAAUGUUUCAAAUUGAGAUCUCAAUCGAACUUAGUUUGCAUGUCAAAGUUUUUAUUAGUAAAAGAGAUUCAAAAUUAAGAUUAAGAUUAAAGAAAAUUUAGUUUCAAGUAUAGUGAAAAAGAAUUCAUUCUAACCUCAAGCCAUUUAAUGAUACCACCACAUGAAACAAUACCUAGCAAGCUCAACAAGCUUCAUCAUAAAUAGAUAACUCUCUAUCAACAACAUGGUUUUAUCAUUUUGGUUACAGAUAACGACUUCAAUACUUACUUUAUCAUGAAGCAUAAAUUCACCGGACAAUAAACAUUGAAUCAUAAUUAAAGUUUAAAAGAUUAAAUCAUUAGAAACAAAAGUUUAAAGACUAAAUAGUCGAGUUUGGAAUCACACAUUAAAUAAAAAAAAUACCUAUAAUAUUUAAUGAAAAAUAUAAUAUUAUGUUUCAACUAUUUAUAAAUGUUUCAAAAUUAUCACAGAGUAGGGAUGGAAGUUAUUAUCUAGGACGGUGUGAGUAGAAUAGUAACCAGAAUAGAAACUAGAACUUGAAUAACACCACAACAUUAUCAACACCCGACUGUUCGCAAUUGAAUUUCUACCUACAAUAUUAUGGAUUUCUACCUGAACAAAUUUAAAACAUUUCAAAAAUAUGGAUGAAUAGAGAUAUUUGAGAUCCUUUUAUUAUUAUUUUAACCAUAGUUUUCAGUUGUAACAAAAUAAAUCAAAUAUAAACGUUAUUUAUUUAUAAUUUAACAAAUGGGAAGAAAACAGAUAUUUUGUUUAAAUUAAAAGACAAUGAAAAGAAAAAGAGAGAAAAUGGUAAUGAAAUAUCCAAAGGCAAGAAAGAAGGCUUAGAAACAUGCGCCAAUAGGGAAGAAACAGCAUCUUCAAGUUCAAGCUAAGCUCAAUCCUUCUUCUUCUUCAACAUCUUCUUCUUCUUCGUUUUCAAUUCUGAUUCUUACCCUUUACUUAUCUUCCUCAUUCUCUCAAUGGGUUCCAUUUCUCUGGACAUUUCUUCCACCUUCUUUACCAUUCCUUCUACUCGCUCUAACCGUAUUUCUUCCCGGUUUCCUUCUGCUUUUCUCCCAUCUCGCCCCUUCACCUUUACUCUCACUUCUUUUCAAUCAUCACCUCUUCCCGCCCUCCAAUCCAAACGAACCUCCCCAAGAUUCUCUGUCUUCGCCUCCACGGCCACACCCACAUCGGAGAGCGAUGAAUCCGAAGUUUUGACCAAGAUUCCCCCCGAUAACCGAAUUCCGGCUACCAUUAUCACUGGAUUUUUGGGUUCUGGGAAGGUAUCAACUCUCCUCAUUUAUUUUUUUCGGUUGCGUGUGUAUGUUUCUAUGUGUUGGGGCGUGAGCUAUAAGUGAAAUUAAGUAGAGUUUGGAGUGAUGUUUUUGGGUCUUGUGCUAUUUGGAUUGGUGUUAAGGGAGUGUGGUUUUGUUAAAUCACCGUUCAGAGAGUAUUGUUCAAAUCUUAAGAAUUGAGGUUAUUGAUGAAAUGAAUUUCAAUUGGAAUUCCAGAGGUUUCUUUUUACUUCGUUUGCAUCUUGUAAAUUCUUGUUUUUGUCUCGCUGUUCGUUUACUUGUCGCCUCUUGAGUUUAACGAUAUGCAGGGUGGGGAGUUCGAAACUGACCCUUUGGUGGAGGAUAUAGUAGUUGAGUUAUGCUCAUGUUGUAGACGUUUACAUGUCUUUUAAAUAAAUAAAAAAAAUCGCUUGGAACUGAAAUUUUCUGACUUAGGGAUAAAUGAGGGAUUGUUUCUUUUAGUUUUUAACAGUGGACAGUGAAUUAAGUUGUUCUUUGGAAAAUCUAAGAACCUUUUUGGUUGUGCUUCGUGUGGAACUUUGCAGACAACAUUGCUUAACCAUAUAUUAACAGCAGACCAUGGGAAGCGAAUUGCAGUAAUUGAAAAUGAGGUAUGAGAUAGAACUUUCUGUGCCUAAUCAUGUGCCUCCUUCUGGGUUAUAUUUUUAACAUCGCAUCUUGUCUUAAAACUACAGUUUGGAGAAGUCGAUAUUGAUGGUUCUUUGGUUGCUGCAAAAACUACUGGCGCUGAGGACAUUGUUAUGUUGAAUAAUGGAUGUCUUUGUUGCACUGUGAGGGGUGAUCUUGUACGGAUGAUAUCGGAGUUGGUUAAUAAGAAGAAAGGGAAAUUUGACCAUAUUGUGAUCGAGACUACAGGUAUGAAGACUUUCCCAAUCAUCAAAAUGAAUGCACAUCUGUCCUAUGCAUUCAUGAUGGUUUCAUUUGGCGCUGUCUUAUACUUUCUGUUACAUCAAUGGAAUAUGUAGGAUUGGCAAAUCCAUCACCAAUCAUUCAGACAUUUUAUGCUGAGGACUCGGUUUUUAACGACGUGAAGUUGGAUGGUGUUGUCACGUUAGUUGAUGCCAAACAUGCAACAUUCCACUUGGACGAAGUUAAGCCGGAAGGAGUUGUAAAUGAGGCUGUAGAACAAAUUGCUUACGCUGAUCGAAUCAUAGUAAACAAGGUAUUCAUGAUAGGUGACUGGUUUAGCCUUUCGAGAUAUAAUGUUCAAACAAGUCAACUUAACUCGUGAGUAGAUUUUUCUCACUCCCAAGCCAAGCCUGUUUGUAAUUUUAUUCACAAAAUUUAAUGCGUAAUUUUUUCAAUCCUGUGCCAUAUCGAUAGAAAGUCGGCUUGUUAUUCUGCUUCUAAGGUUUUUGCAUUGAAGUAAAUGUCUAUGGCCUCCUCACUGGUAAUGCAAUUUAGAAAAUUUGGCUGCGGUAUUCUUAGGUAGAUGAUGGGCUUCUUAUAUGCGACUAUGUCUCAUGUACAAAUUUUACUACAAAAAAUUGAGUAAAAUAGACAACCUUGAAAUUUACUUGAAAUAACUUUUAGUUUUUGCUCCAAACGCUUGCCUAAUUCGUGAACUGUAUGCCUCUAGACUGAUCUUGUUGGCGAGCCACAAAUUGCUGAUCUGGUCCAACGGAUAAAGGUUAGUAUCACUCAACACUUUUUCUUAAAUAUUGAUUCAUUAGCUUUUCACUGUCAUUUAUGUUUCUUUUUUCCCUUCCGGAAUAGAAAAUAAACCGGAUGGCUGAACUGAAGAGGACAAAGUAUGGCAAGGUUGACUUGGAUUAUGUUCUUGGUAUAGGAGGCUUUGAUUUGGAGAGGUAGUUCCGUACCAUCUAAAAUUAUUUCCUUUGUUAUUGAAAGAGAGAGACUCCUGAUUCUUUUGUUGUCACUUUUCCUGAAUGCAACACUUGUUGGAUAAAAAUAUUCAUUUGGAUUCUCUUUUCUGUUCCAUAUAUUUGUUUAUUACCAUUUUUUUCUCUUCCUGAUGCUUAGCUUUUUGUUUAUUCUUGCCAUUCCUGCUUGAUUUUGGAUGAUUAAGUUUUGUUCUUCUCCUCAUCCUCAUUUCAUGUUUACAGGAUAGAUAGCUCUGUUGAUACUGAAUCAAGGGAAGAUCAUGCUCAUAGUCACCAUGAGGAUCACAAGCACAGCCAUGACCAUGACCAUGAUCAUCACCACCACGACCACGACCACGAACAUGACCAUAAGCAUGGUAAAAUUAUGCGCUCAUAUAAUGUGUUAUAUCUGUUGUGCAUUAUUUGAGUGCUACACUUUAUACUCAGCCAUGUCACUCUUCAAUCAAAUUGUCUUGGAGAUUCUGAUCAUACGCGUAGUACAGCCUCGUGUUUCUUGCUUUCUGUUCCUGUGAAAACACUGCAUCAUCCAGAUUUGUUGUGGAUGUUUUACUGAUUCAAGUACAUUUUACAGUUAAAAUUUACACAGAAUUCACAUAUUUUGUUCUCAUUUAUAAAGUUCCCCAUGUGUGAACUUGCUUUUGACUACAAAACACAUUGCUUAAAGUGCAAUGUUUGAAUAGAUUGUUUCAGCAUCUUGACCAUGGAAUUGAAGUUGUACCAAGUCAUUAGGGCAUCCUUAGUUUGUUUGUUUUUUGUUCUUUCUAAUCUAACAUCAGUUUCAACUUUUCAAUGCAGACCACCAUUCACAUGAUCAUACGCACGACCCUGGCGUAUCUUCGGUCAGUAUUGUCUGUGAAGGAAUCUUGGAUCUUGAGAAGGUUGGUGUGGAGAUGGGUUUCCUUGUCAUCAAAAUGAACUCUAAUACUCUUCAUUGGACUACUAAUUUAUUCAUCCCCCUUCCCAUUUUAAGAAUGCCUCACGAGUAUUUUUUUUCACCAUUCUUUCUUUGUCAUGGCCAUGUCUCUGCUCCAUUGGUCUGUGCGAAAGAAUUUCAUCUCUUUGUUGUUAUCAUUCAGGCGAACAUGUGGCUUGGUACAUUAUUGUUAGACCAUAGUGAUGACAUAUACCGGAUGAAAGGUCUCUUAUCAGUGCAGGGUAUGGACGAGCGAUUCGUCUUUCAGGUGAGUGAAAGAAAAAAACAAUGAAAUGUACGACUGACGAUUGUCUUUUUGUUCAGUAACCGAACCAACCAAUCCUUUCACUAAACCACCAAAUAGAACGUACAUAUUUCUAGUUUUUUAGUUCUAGGUAUCAAAUUUUAGAAGAUUCAUUGUAUUAAUUCCUUUCUCUUCGUUUACAUGUCGAAAUACUUUACGAGUUCAGUAAUCUGUUUGUUCUGUUGGGUACGACAGGGUGUUCAUGAUAUAUUUCAAGGUUCGCCCGAUCGAUUAUGGGGUCCAGAUGAGCCAAGAAUCAACAAGAUUGUGUUUAUAGGAAAAAACUUGGAUGGAGAAGAGUUAGAGAAGGGCUUCAAAGCAUGUUUAUUGGGAUGACUCAUGUGGCUACAUAACAUGAUUUUGGAAAGAUAUUGCAGUUGAAACAUUAAUAGAGGCUUUUUUUUCUUAAAGAAAAUUUAAAUAUAAUUUUUUUGUUAAUUUUCCUCCCUUUCAUCAGUGAUCUCAUUUUAUAAUGAAAUCUAGGCCUGAAGUUGAUCCAUUGAAUCUCUUUCUUCCUGCCAAAUAGUUAUGAAUUGGUUUGGGAUUUUGAUGGAAAAUUAUAGCUUCUAUGAAUACAGUAUUUGUGUAAACUAAAUAUAUAAUUUAAUCUCAAUAAAAAGUUGAAUUUUAAAGAAACAAACUGAGACGGCCAACGGCAUUAUGAAAAUGGAAGAAGAAAGAUUUCAGAAGAAUGGCGGCAACUUCCCAGAUCGGAAAAUGGCUAACUUAGAACUUUGAGAAUACGAAUAACUAAUUCCAUUCUCUUUAAAAAAUCCUUCCAGCAAAUCCCUAUCUCUUUCCGCAUCUUCACUCUCACAUUCCAUUUCAUAAUUCCUUCCGAAUUCAAAUAUCGUUUCAUCCAAUUCCAAUUUCAAUCCUUUCCAGUCAUACACUCUUCUCACGUUCUUGAAUCCCCCCAAGCACACAAACCCAUCAAUCCUAUACUCCUCUUUCACUCUCUCCAAAAUCUUCGAUUCUUCCAUCAACAUCAUUCGAUUCGGCUCCUCCACGCACGCCCGGCCGAUCGACGGUUCCAACGCCUCUUCCUCCUCCUCGAUGCGGCUGAUUCCGUCGGAGAUUGUGGGUUUUGCUUUGAGAGAGAGGACGCAGUGGGAAUCUUCGUUGUAGAAUCGGAUACGGAGGGCGGCUUGGUUGGAGGAGAGCUCAGCGUUGGGGCCGUCGAAGAAGAAGUUGUGUUGAUUGUGGGUUUUGAUGUGGUGAGAGGAGAGGAGGUGGGAGAGUUUGUGGUGAGAGGAAGAGUCGGGGAGACGGAGUUUGAUUUCGACCUCCAUUGGUGGCGGUGGUGGUUGAUUUGUGGGGCGGAGGUUGUGGAAGAGGCGGCAAUUGCGUCGAAGAUGGAGGGAGGGAUGGCCGGGAUUUGGAAGCAAUCGGAGACUCAUUUCUAGUUGUCUUGGAGCACAGAAAUUUGGGGAUAAGGCUUUCAGAUUCAACCCCUUGCGAUUUGCGAUCAUAUCAUUUUCUCCCACUUUUCAUUUUGUUAAUUUUUAAAACUAAUUAGCAAAUGACCCAUUUAUUAGGGUUUAUGAUAUGCGUAAAAUUACAAUAUUGCCAUUCUUUAGGGUUUUUUUCUCCUUUCUCCACGUCGCCUUCCUCUUCUUCUCCAGUGUCCAUAAGCAAGAAGCUUCCUCUCCAUGGGACUUAGAGAUGGGGUGAUGUAAGAGUUGGGCAAGACCAAUGGGAGAAGGACGCAAGUGACACCAAGCAAGCGAGAGCAACACUAACUGAGAGAUCAAACAAAAUGGGAGGGAGGAAACGGCUUUUCCGUAUACAAAGGAGUGUGUCAACAAAGAGUUAUUCUAACACUUUUUAAAAAUAGAUCAUUCAACUAUUGGUAGACUGAAGUUUAAAUUAAAUACUGAAGGUAGGCAUUUAUUGACUCAAGUUUAAAUUAAAUACUAAGGUAAGCAUUUAUCACAUGUCAUUAGUAUUUUACCUCAAUUUGGUUAAAUUUUAAAUUAAUUAUUGUGCGUUAAUACUAUAUACAAAGAAUUUAGUUAAAGCAUAGAGAUAAAAUUACUUGAAAUAAAAUACAAAACUAUUUGACUAAGACAUUCUAAAACUUAGCUGAAUGAAAACUAAAUUCAUAAUCUUAAAAACUAAAUUCAAAAUCUCAAUACUAAAAAAGUAUUAUCAUAUAAAAUUACAUUAGCUUUUUUAAAAUAAAAUACUUUUACUCACGAUGGAAUGUCAAACAUCAAAGAUGGAUGAUGGAAUCGAUCAAUCACACUAUAGUGAUGAGGCCAACCUAAAUAUAAAUAUAAUUCAAUGAUUGAACAUAUAUUCUCGACCAAAAAAUCAAACAGUCAAAUUAAAUUCAAGUCUCUCCUAUUUAUUUACAUGUAUUUAAGAAAAAAGAGAUCAAUUUUCUCUCAUAAGAUGCAGAGAUUUGGUAGAAUUUGUGAAAGCCAACAAAUUUGGUUUGAAAUGUUUGAAGACAAGAGAUAUAUUUGCUUGGCGGUGAAAGAUUUCUGAUAGGCCAACACCACCUCUCCAUUCCUGUUUUCUCCGCCAAAUCCACAACCAAGUCCAUAGCCAUAAGUAUCCCCACAAAAUAGUGCAAACCUUAUUUUGUAUCUUUUUUUAAAUUGAGUUCCUAUUCUUUCAUUUAUAAUGAGAUGCUGUAGAAAUUAUUAUAUAUAUAUAUAUAUAUGCAAACAAAUGUAAAAGAAUUGUGAAACUAAAGUCAUUAACAUUGAAUAAAGUAUAAACCAUAACCUUGUGAGUAGUUUUGAAAUGAUCAAGAUCAAAUUUAUUCGAAAGGAGAAACAGAUAGUGCAUAUCAAUUACUAAACUCAUGUCAGUUAUAUGAAAAACAAAGGAGCAUUUAAAAGUGUCAAAUUAAAAUGAUUAAAGACAAGUUUUGGAGCGAUUUUGAAUCUCAUAAAAAUAAUUUUUUAACCAUUUCAAUAUUUGAAGUACAUAACAAGGUUCAAAUCAUUUUACCUUAGGGGAAUGGAGUGUCUCAUCAUGAUCUUCAAGAGAAGCCAUCAAAGCAGCAGCUACCUCGUUAUAUAACGCAUGGCUUUUGUUUAUGAUCUGAAAUUGCUGGUUUAUCUCAUACACAAGAUUUCUCCUUUCCUCCAAACUGUCGAACAAAGCUUUCUUCAUAGCUCUUGUAUCUUCUUCAAGAAUGCUCAAUCUUCUACCGAUCUUUUCAACUUCACAAGCUUUCACACUCGACGUGGAACCAUCUUUCGAUGAGUUUUUCGCAACCCCAUUUCGAUCAAAUGUUCUCAAAACCAUCUCAUGACUCGAACCAUCUGCUUCAGUUCCAUGUCCAUGAGAGCGUUUUUGGUGUUCUGCCAUUGUAGCUGCGUUAGAAAAAAGUCAGUUUCAUCAACUUCUGAGGCCAGUUUGCAAGUUCUCUCGGUUGUUGUGUGAGUUUUUUGAAACACAAGAAGAGUUUUCUCACUUGUACUGUAAAAAAUUUGAAUCUUUUGGGCUUCGGAGAGAGAGAGGGAAAGGGAGAGGAAUUUAUACUUAGGAAUCGGUGCCAUAUGGAGAAUAACAGGAUGUAAAGAGGAUGAUAAUAAAUUUUAGGGUCGAUAGUAUUGGAAAAAUAAAACUCUUUCAUGUUCUCAACAAAAAGAAAAGAGAUUUUGGUGGGGAAAAAAACAAGAAAGAAAGAAAAAGAAAAUGAAGAGGUUGGGUAGAAGACAUGAUUGUGACGUGUGAAUGAAUGAAGCUUACAAGAGGUUCACUGACUGGAGAAAUUCGGUAGUACUGCGGCAGUGUAUAAAAAAAUUUACAUGCUUAAAACAAAUGAAUAAAUUAUUUAAUGCCGUAUUAAACAAUAAAAAAGAGUAAUGGUAUGUGUAGUACUAUAAAGUCAAAAGUGGUGUUCAAAUCCUCCACUCUAAUUCACUAAAAAAAAUUGAGUCUUUUGUGGUUCAAAUCCUCCCCAUCCUACACUGAACUAAAAAGAAUCGAGUACAUAUGGAAAAUGGACUCAACAUACCAAAGUUUUCUUUUCAAGACAGAGAGGUUUGCUGCACAUUUCUCAAGACGAAGUUUUAAGAGAAAAACCUGUUAUCGGGAUGAAGUUUAUAAGUCGGUGGAUACGAGUCUCUAAUGGCGGCUUUUGGAGGAUUGCUGUGUCAACUUCAAGUGGCAAGUUUUGGCUCCAUUUCUACAGAAGCUUUGGCGUCAUGUAAAAUCCUGCAGCAUUUCCAAACCAUCAACCUUAUCUUCACCUUAUAAGGCAACAAUGAAGUGAAAAGGUUAUGUAAAAUAAGAUUGUCUUAGAUGUAUAGUCUAAUGAAUUACUCAUAACCAGUUCAAAUGAUCCCCAUACAUACAUCUAAGACAAUCUAAAUGGCUACUCAGAAUCCUUCAGUUUCCGCAUAACUGAUCUCUCCUGUUAAUUUUCUUAUGUCUCAGUCCUUUAAUUUUAGAGUUUAGUAGUAGUUAGAGACAAUAGUCGAUCCAAAUUUGAUCAGAAAUAAUUCGUUUCAGAGAGAUUUUCAUUAAGAUGGUUCGUAAUCUUUGAAAUCAAUAUCUGUCUACAAAAGGGUGAGCCAUAGGCUUGAAUUGAGCAUAAAUGAACAUGUUUGAAGAAUUGAUCUUGCUCAUCGACGCUGAAAUUGCUUGAGAAGGACAUGAUACAUGAGGAUGACGAAGACAUGAUACAUGACGAUGACGCUUUAGCUAGUAAUUUAUCAUUUGUUUCUCCUUGUCGCGAAAGAGGAAAAGGGAGGGGACAAAGGAAUAGUUUGAGUAGUCGUCUUAAUCAACAGGCACCUCAACCUCCAUUUUCAGGUCAGAAUUGGCAAGAAUCUGCGAAAGAACAAAAAUACACAUUACAACAGCUUGGGGAAUAUAUGAAUUGAGAAAAUUAUGAAUGACUUACAGCAAACUCAGAUGACAAAAGUCAGUACAAUAAUAGUUAGCACGGGAUCACAAAAUUGAACUAGAUGACUUCUAGGAAAAAUCAUGGAAAAGUUGACAUGGUGCAAGACACCAAGUGAUGAAUAAUGAAGUAGUUCUGAAGUGUAGAGAAUAAGCAAAUAAACCAUGAUUGGUGGAACCCUUUUCAUUCAGAUGCUGAAGAAUCAGUAAAGUUUAAAUCAAAAACAAUUUCAAAAUUGAAGUUUAAAGUUCAACAACGAGGUACUGUUAUUGAUAGAGGUAUAAAUUUUCUUAAGAUUUCAAAUAUGAUUGUUAACGUUAAUGACUAGACUAUUUAUUGAUCACAAAUUGUCCUUGAGAUUUCAGCUGCUUUAUCUUUGUGGUAAUAUUUGGGUAAUUUAGACUAUUAAUGUACUUUCUCCAUUUAAUUGAUCCAAGUUUCAAAUAAUUAUUAAUUAUUUUUGUGCUUGUAUGCGUGUCAGAUUAGGAAGUCACUGGCCCACUAGGUCUUGUUGGUACAAAUGAACGGAAUGAGAUUUAACAUGGUAAAAACAAACCUUAACGAAAUCAUCCUGGGUUAAAUGGACUUCCUUUGUGUAACCUGCUUCCUCCAGAAGUUGGCUCAAGACUUGCUGCAAAAGAAAGAAAUGAACGUAACUUUAUAACAUGCCAUGUGCCAUGGAAAAUAUAUACAAUUCUCUCAAUGCCUCAUAAGAUUUAAUGUAUCGUCUAGAGUACCUUUCUUUGGUCAUCAGACAUGAAGGGACCAGACAAAUCCUGUAGCACUUCUAUCAUGUCAUUGAAGGACACCUUCCCAUUCAAGUCGGCAUCAUAAACUUUGAACAUAACUGAUGGAACCAAAAACAAAUAAUAACUGAUGAGUCAAGCUUUUUCAAGACAACAAAGCUCAUUAUAUCAGUAUAUCAUUUAUUAAAAUUUUAGAUAAUCAAAUUUUUAGUUAAAAGAGUAUGAUGUUAGUGGCUAAAGAAAACGAUUGACAAGAAAAGAAAAGAGGAGAUACACAGUGCCAUGUUUCUGAUAGGUAGAAAGAAAUUUAACCACUGAAUUCAACCCCUCUCACAAUAAAUGAAGAAUGUUAUUUGACUAAGAAAGUUCAUUAAGAUAUACUCAUAUAUAUUUUAACCCAAUACUCACACUAUUCAAAAAAAUUAUUAGAACGGCUACCCAAAAUCAUGCAGAUAACUCUUACGAUUUUUGUACAUCAACCAACUAAAAAUACCAAAUUACACUAUCUAUGAAGGUCCUAUGGAGCCAAUUACAACAAGUUGAUUUUGAGGACUCAUUAUAGAAGCCCAUUUGAUAUAACCUUUUCUCACCAUCUAUAAUUCUAGAAGAAAACUACAAACAUAUUGGAUAGUAAUUGCUAGGAGCGUAAACAAAGUCCUUCGUUGUUUAGGAAAGGGAGAGAUCUAGUGUACAUAAGUAUGGACAAUCAUCUCCACCAAUAUAACCUUCUGGGUGAAAUCAAAAGCAAAGCUAUAAAUGCUUAUGUCCAAAGUGGGCAAUAUCUUAUCAAUGUAAAGAUAGGUGGAGGUUCUUUUGUCCAUAUCAACCUCAUAAAUUCCCAAUACCAUCAAAUUCAAGAACAUAAGUAUACCGCCAUUUGUUUCUAUAUUUCAAUGAGCGGAUCAUGUAAUAUUUCUGGGGAAAAGACGUCUUAAAUGGAAACUGAAAAGUGCAUUAUUCCAUAGCAUUUCUGUACAAUUAAGUAUGAAAAGUGAAAAAUAUAAACCAAAAAUUUGCUCCAAACUUCAAAGGCAAUAUUUGGAAUACUGUCAAAGAAAUCAAAUGUCGAGUAUCAUCAGACAGCAUCUAAACAAUAGCAAGUACGCAUUUUAUACGUACAUUCAAUUUUACGUUGGAUGCUAGCUUUAGCACUAAAUGCAGACAAAAACGCCACGAAAUCCUUAAAGUUCAAACCAUCAACCAUCUUUAGCAGCCUCUGGGGAACACAAAAAGCAAAGAACAAACUAUCAUUCACCGAUUAAAGUACACGCAAUUUCAAGAAAACAAUCAUAGAAAUGUUUCAAAAGAAAACCUGAGAAAGAGGAUUCAUAGCGAAUUCUGGGACUGAUAAAAACUCAUCGGCCAAGAUGUAUCCCUUUGAGUUUCGAUCGAGUUGACAAAAUCUUUGAUACAGUGACACUAUUUCUUGUUGCGUAACUGAAUUAUACAACCAAAUUGAAAGAGAACCGAGUUAAAUUAGAAGUGAAGAGUAUGGAAAGAAAGGAUAAGGAACAUAAAUCGAAAAAAACAAAAAAUCUCACAUAGAUUAUCGCAGUGGCAUUGAACUUCUUCAAUAUCAUAUUGAGUGAGCAUCGAAGAGGAGUUUCCCAUUGUUUGUUGCUGAGAUUCAAUACACGCGCAAAUCAAAAUCUACCUUCUCACCUCGAAGAAGAGGCAAAAUGUAGGUAGAUUGCAGAGAAUUUACUAUUAUAGUAGAAAAGGGAGAAAUCAAAACAAACUGUAGGAGUCGCUGAAGAUCAAAAAACUUAUCAAACUAAGUGGACGAAUUAAUUGAAUUCUGCGGAGUUGUUUGUUGAUUGACCAUAAAAAAUUUCAAGAACCCAAACAGAAUCGGAUCAAAAGAAGAGAAAGCUGCCCGAUCUGGAGCUGAGAACUGCGCCCUUAGCUGCUUUUGCUUGCAUGAAAUGAUCUGAAUUCUAGAGAAAAAAAAAAAAAAAAUCUGUGUAAAUUGUAAAUCUGGUCCUAAAUAAAAUUAGAAUUAAGCUGAAUUUUAACCUUUCAAAUUUUUAGGGUUAGAUUUAAAAAACUGAUGUUGUUGACUUCUUUAUUCGUAAUCUCAAAUUAAUUAAUUUUGACGAUAACAUAUCUAAUUUUAUUUAAUAGUUCAUAGUGUAAAGUUGAAAACAACGAUAAUGAAUUCUAUUGAAUCACUCAAACAAAAAAGACAUCAUUAAACUAAGCUUAACAGAAGAUACUCAUGUUGACGUAUAGGCUUAUUCAUGUACCAAUCCAAAAGUGUCAAUUUAAAAUUUGGUUUGAUUUACAGAUAGAUAAAUUGGUUUUAUUGGUUUCCAAAUUUAAAAUUAUGUGAAUUUUGAAUUUGUUUGGUUUUAAUUUAAAAACAUGAUUUUAAAUUUGGGUGAAGUUUAAUAAUAAAAUUAACUUUGAUUAUUGAGUCUAAAAUGAGUUGUGGGUGAUUGAACUUUUAUUUAAUUUAAAACGAGUAAUGGUGAUUUCAAUUUAAAUACGUUUUUUUUUUUAAAAUAGAAAAAAAAUUAUUUAUACUUCAAUGAAAAAAAUUCACUAAUUUUUUUUUCAAUGAAGUGUAAUAUUUUAUUGAUUUUUAUAUUUUUGAUCAUUUUUCUUAAAUUUUAAAAUGAGCAACGGUGAUAGGUGAUUGAAUUAUAAAUGAAAGAUGGUUGAUUGAGUUAAUUAACAAUGAGGGAUGAAAAUUGAAUUUAAAAUAAUGAAUGAUCGUUAAUUUUUAAUAUUUACUUUUACUUCUUUUAUUGAUUUUUUCCUUUGCAAAAGCUAAUAAUCCAAAUUUAGAUGUCACCAUCUAUCGUCAUAAAACUCGCCAUUUUUAUUUUGCAAAGGUAUUGUAGUAAAGGCUAGAGUGGAAAUUUGAACCCGGACCUCUUGUCCACUCGCCAUUUUUAUUUUGCAAAGUUAUUGUAGUAAAGGCUAGAGUGGAAAUUUGAACCCGGAUCUCUUGUCCACCGAAACAUACAGGUACCAGUUGAACUAAGCUCAUGUUUGGCUAAACUCGUAAUUUGCUCCAUAAUUCACACAAAAAAAUUUAUUUUCUUUUUCUCCAUAAUUCACACAAAAAUUCUUAUUUUCUUUUUAAUCCUCAAAGUCGGAGAAGGUGUCCAUUGUGUUUCUUUUUCCAAAGCUCUCAAUCUCAUUUUUUUUACAGGUUUGAUCCAAACCCGUAGAUAGGAGUUGGUUUUAAACUUGUUUUUUUCACAAAGCUCUCAAUCUCAUUUAUUUUGAGGGUUUGGUCCAAACCCAUAGAUAGGAGUUAGUUAAUUUGUGAAAAGAUUCAAAAAACUAAUCCCAAGAGACACUUGAGAAAGUAUAUGUAGGUUAAGUUUGAUCGACCUUCCUAAUCAUUUCCUCAACUAUUUUGCAUUUUAUUUUAGUUACAUAUUUGUUGGGUUGAAAUUAGUUGAAUCUAUUAUUGCAUGCUUAUUUGUUAUACACUAAAUUAUUCUAAGCCCUACCCAAUGUAAACCACAAAUUUAAGAACAAGAAAUACAAUAUAUUGAAUUAUAGAUAUCAAAAUAAAAUUUAAAAUAAAACAAAGGAUAAAAAUAGAACUUUAUGGGGGUAUAACAGCAAAGGAACUUUGUAACUAUUAAUACACGUUAAACAGGCAUUGGGAAAAAAAAACACAGAUGAAUAUUGAGGCCAUUGCUGAAGUCGUCUGUAGCUAAUACAAAAGUCAAAAAACAAAAGCAUGCAUAGCUUAGACAACAGAACAAGUAGGCAUUGUGUGUUAUUGAAAAAUCCACCAGAAUCCAUUCCGGAAGUAAAAUAGAAUCUUUCUUUUUUUAGUGGGGGUGGAUGAAAUUUUGACAGAAUAAAUAAUAAUCAAACCAAGAAUCUUUGGCAGCUCGAUUGGUUACAUCCCAGAUUUGGCAUUAUUGGAGGAAGUAAAUGGGAGGCUUUUCAGCAAGCAUCGAGGUCCCGGCAUGGAGGCGGUUUCGGGUCACUUACCAAGGUUGUGUUUCCUCCUUCUGGUCCGCAUCGAAUGCGUCCAGGGUUUUGUGUGCCAUGCUGAAAUAUGACACAGAUGUUACAUUUUUUUUUUUUUAUCAUAAGCCAGUAUUGUGGAGAAAAUUACAGAGAAGAAAUCUAGGAAACUCGACAUCAGCAAGCCAGUUAGUUUCCUUACCGGUGGUUUCUCCCCUCUUCUCAACAUCUCUACUAUCUCGACAACUCGUUUAGGAGUGACAUCUUCCUGAAAAUGAUAUAAUACACGCAAAUAAUUGUGAUUCAAGCACAAAAAGUUUAUUUUGCUUGGUUGAAUGAAAAUGUUAUGCUGCACUCACAUAGUAAUUGUAUGUGUAUCCUUCAGAUCCAUUAGAGUAAUCGGCAACUGUGAUCAUUGGAGCGUUAACACAACAUCCCUACAGAGAACAAGCAGAUAUCAGAUUAUAACAAACUGCUUUUAUUUUCUUCGAAAGCAUUGAAUUAAUGCAUGGGGUGAGAGAAUCGAACCACUGUCUUUGAGGUUGAUAGUACAAGUAUUAAGCCAGUUAAACUAUGCUCCUUUUGGCAUAAGAAACUACUAUUUAACCAUGCUAGCACCUCCUUAAGACAAGUUUCACUUCAAUGAAAAUGCACUAGAGCCAAAUUAUCAAUUUCAAUUUGAACAGCCAAUUCAAGAGACCGAGCCUCCCAAGAAUUGAGUUCAACGCAAGUAAUAUCUACAUCCUCUCAUGCUCAACUCGCUAUAAACUAUGGCCCACUAACAUAAUGGCCAAACAUAAAUACCAUACAAAGAACAGCCAAACGAUAAACAGAAACUAAAAGACAAAUAAAGUAGUAACUAACUGGUCCAUCACUGCUCAUCCUAACAUAUGUAUUUGUAUGUAUGAAGUUUCACCUAAUGUCAAGAUCCUAGAAGUCUUCUGUUUUGGAAUCCCAUUGUGAGUAAGCUUCACAAGAGGUUCUCAUCUAGGAAGAAAAGCUUUUUUCUCAAAGGAUGGCAGACCCAAUCUCAUUUAGUCUAUUUUGAGUGGGAUUCCAAACCUUGAAGAAACUUGUGGUGGUUUCCUUUGUUGACAAAUUGAGGCGGGAAAAGAGUUGCACUUAGGAUGGCACUUAGAAAGCCAAUCCAAACAAACACUUAGAAAAUGGGGCUGGUGGUGAAGGUCCUUGGAUUGAUAUAGGCAACUAGAGAACCCAUUUCAAGGCCCUUUUGAGUAAAUGACAUAGACGUUUUCAUCAUGAAGUUCAGCAGGUUAGCUGGUAAGUAGGUACACAAUUUUUAAAUAUGUACACCUUGAAGCAUUAACACUUUGAGCCUUAAAAACACCGAUUGUACACUUUGGACCAAGUGUUGAGAGAGAAAAAGUGCUGGACUUGAUUGAGCCACAGCAUUCUCUGCUGAGGCCCUCCCUGAACCUCCUCUGUUUGAGGGCUUUUUUUCCCCUUGUAUGCCACUGCUAUUUUUCUCUUCUUUUUCUUCAUGAAAAUUUGGUAUUCAUUGAAAAAAUGUUGUAUAAGAAGGUCAGGGUAGAUGCCAAGGAAAUAGAGAAAAGAAAAGAAAUCUCACCAUGCAUUCCAUUUCUCCAACAGAGAACAGACCAUCCUUUGUUACUUCUGCAUAUCACAAACAUCAUGGGCUUAUCUUCAGAUCUAUAUACCUUCAAAGUUCUAAUGAAUAAAUUGUACAAUAAAAAAAAGUACAUAAAUCUACAUCAACAAUAUAAUUAUGAUUAUUGUUAUAAAAUUAUGUUGUAGAAAUUUAGAUUGUUGUUCGUAUAAGAUCAAAUAUUUUUAACACAUAUGGAGCACCUAGUAAUAAGUUAACUUUAACUUUAGACUUCCAAUCGCUUGCAAUAAUUUAUAAUUAUGAAUUCUGCCAUGCCCAACGUUUCAUGAGCAAACUGCUACAUAACACUCACCAUUGCGCUUCACUCCCAAGUGUUUUAGUAAAGCAUCUUCUAUUUCCCGAGAACCACGAAUCAUGCAUGGAGUAGUGCCACAAACUAACAAGUGGUACUUGCCCACCUGAAAAUAAAUUAAUGAAGUUCAGCAGGUUAGCUGGUAGGCACACCAUUUUUAAAUAUAUCCCCAAAAAUCCAAAUGUAAAUGAAGAAACAAUAUAGACUAAUUUUAUUCUCUCUCACCUUAGCUCGAUUGAACAUUGAAUAAAAUGUUGCAACUUCAUAUACACGGAUGGGAGCAACCUCCACAACUUUAGCUACCUGAGUCAACCAUAAAGGUAUCUUUAUAUGGAAAUAUAUUGGCACAACAUCCAUCAUGUUCACAGGCUUACAUAAGUUUUCUACUGAUACAAUCAACUUCCAAUCAACCUAUGGUGCUCAUUUAAAAUAAUAAUAAUAAUAAUAAUCAAUCAAUCAAAUCUAGAAAGUGCAUAAUUUUGUGAUUAAGGACUAAUAUAAUUAAAGGGAUUUUGUUUUACUAUGAGUCUCUUAAAUAAAGGAACGGAAAUGACUUUAAAUAGCUAUGCUAGACAUUGAAGAAGCAGCAAACAUGUUAUUUGAGAAUUUGGAGACCAUGAAUCUCCUUUGUAAGAAAUCACCUUAUUUUAGUUAUCUAGCUGAUUUUCUUUAGAAGAUGCUCCCAGUUCCCUAUGCGCUUGUUUUGUUCUGAAGGUGCUAUUGUAUUAGGAUAUUGACUUAUUGUAGUUAAGGCGAUCAUUUUAGGUCAUGGUAGUGCAUAAUCCAAGAUCAAAUACUUUUUCAGAUUACUGAAGUUGGGAAAAGUAGUUCAAAUUAACCAAGGUCAUGGAUUUUGGUUUGGAUGUUAUGCACAACACGACUAUUUGUGGAGUGCAUUAAGCAAGCCAUAUCUACCCAACCCCGAAGAAAAUAAUAAAUGAAUAAAGCACACAAAAGAAUGAUAGAUAGGCAAAGGCUUUAGUAAAUCAACUAUGAGGAGUCUACAGUGUAUGGUAUAAAUAUUGCAUCAGAUUUUGACUAUUGCAUAUUAAAGUUAUUUCAUUCAUUGUUGGAAUACUUCAAACUACUGACACAACAUCAAACUAAAGAGCAACUUCAAAGCAUAGGCCAACAUACUGCGUUCAUUGCAGAAACAGGAAGCCAUCCUCCAUGUUGCUGUUGUGCAAGAUCUAACAAAGGAAUGACAGCAGAUUGUUUAUAGUUGGAGGGAUAGUGGGAUAAUAUCUCUGCAAUCUGCACACGGAUAAGAUCAACUAAACCCUUUUUUUAUAAGAAAUAUUUGAUUGAUGUCGACAAGAUGAAAUUACAAGAAACAAACAUAUAUCCCUAUUUGCUACAACAAUGUUGAGCCAACUUUUUUUUAAAAUAAUAAUAAUAAUAAAUAUUAAGCAAACAUAAGUAUGAAUGAUUGUAAAACCAAGUAUGGGAAUAUCGUAAUGAUAUUAAGCCCACCAAACAAUGUACCUCUACGGAGAAAAAAAAAGAAGAAGAGAUAAUUAGGCUUCCACCCACUACAAAAUGACAAAGAGCAUCUUAAAUCCUCAUCACAUAUACUGUGAUAAUAAGGUUUCUGAAAGCACAAAAUGUGAUGCAUACAAUGUAGUUACCAAAUAUUGACCUAACAAUGAUAGUCUAGGAUAUUGCGAUUUCAUGUAAAAAUGGGGGGAAAAGGCUUCUUCAAGACUAUCUAUCAAUUAUUUUGCGGGCAUCAUGUAUAUUGGCGGUUAAUUCCCAAAAGCUACACUCUAACCAUCAUAAAAACAGAAAGAUGCGUGGUGGUAUCCAUUGCAUCAUUCUAGUCGUAUACAUUGGUCUAAUACUUACAGUACUCAUUUCCUCUUUUAUUUAGAUGAGUUGCUGUCCCAUAAUUUGAUAGGUUUGAAGCAAGACAUGGCUAUGUAUAAGCAACAAAUUGUAGCAAGUCGUCUAUCCGUCCUUUCCAGAUGUUGGGUCAAAUUAACAGAACAAUCAUUUGUUUUGAAAAAUAAAUUGUCAUAAGACAAGCCAAAUGCCGACGAAUAUCGAUCUGAAAGGCAUCCAGAUUUCCCAAAUUCCGAAAUCAAUAAAGGUUAAAACAUUCUCGUCUCAGACUAAAAACACCAGAAAUCCUAAAAUUUCUAGAGUCAUUAAAAACACCAACCUUUUUUUUGUUCGUCUCAGAGAAUUCCCAAGUAAGAUCGGGAUUGUUAUCCGGUGAAUCAACAUGCUGCAACACGUUAAAAAUUCAAAUUCAUGAGCUCAACAAAAAAAAAAGCCUUUUAUUCAAUUGAGAGAUUAAGAAGUUAGAUGCAAAACACCCAUGGACUCACAUAGUUGAAGGCAGUUGAGAAGCAUCGCGAAGUCUGUAGGAGACAUAAACUGAAAUUAGAGAAAUGAAUUGGACGAUGAACGAGAGUGAAAUAGAGAGUGAGAUAAAAACCUGACGGACACUUUGCCGGAUUCCGGCAAGACGAUUGGCAGCCAGGCGAGCUAGCAUAUUCACAGAGAGAGAGAGAGAGAGAGUGAUGAAUUUUAGGGCCUAAGAAUGGAGCUCGGAUUCAGGCUCGAAGUGAAGAGGAAAGAGAGAAAGAGAGAGACGCUGCCCGUAGCUUCGCUCCAGUCAUGAGAUGUUGGAAGAGACGAGCCCCGUUAAAACGAUGCUUCGGCCCAAUGACUCGAUUUUGAUGGGUUCAACUUCAAGACUACCUUAUUUAAAGCUCGAAACCAAAUUUAGAUCAACCUUCAUCUAUUUAACUAUAUACCAACAUUUUAAAAUAUUUGUAUAUAUAAUCAAAUUUUAAAAAAUUUAACGAUUUAUAAAUAUAGUAAAAUCGAUUUUAAAAUAUUUAUAAAUAUAAUAAGAUUUACACUUUCUUUUAAACGUUGCUAUAUUAUUUUAUUAUUAUUCAUAAAAUUACUACCAAUUGUAAUUAUCUUUUUAGUUUUUAAUAAUUUAGUAAGUAUCGUCAAUUUAGUCUAUGAACUUUAGUACAUAUUAAUUCAGUCAUAGUACUUCAAAAUUUGUAAAAAUCUAAUCUCCAAUGUAAAAAUAGAUAUCAAAUUUUAUUAUUUUAUGAGGUAGACUUUGUAUUUUACAAAGUCAAUGAGCCUCUUAUUAGUUUUUUUGGUUUGUCUAUGCAAGAAUUGUCAUUAAACUUUUACAUAAUUUCUACAUGGACUAAACUGGUACACUUUCAAAGUAUAACAACUAGAUUGUUACAUAAUAAAGUUUAAUGACUAAAUGUUACAAAAUUGAAACUUUAGGGACCAUAAUAUUAUAAAACAAAAUUUAUAGACCAAAGUGUUAUUCCUAUAAAAGUUAGUGAAAAUCUAUAUACUAAAGUGUUACUUCUAUAAAAGUUACGAUUAAAAGUUGUUUUUUACCUAAUUUUUUAAACGUGUUAUUAUACAACUUUAAGUGCUACUCAUUAGUGUCACUUAAAGUUGUUAUCUAAAUAUUAUUUAAAACAUUUGAAAAUAGUAUACAUGAAUUUAUUUAGGGUAGUUUUCUAAUAUAGUAAAACAAUUCAAAUUAUUCACAUGUAUACAAAAAAAAAUAAAAAUAAUAAUAACAACCCAAUUUUACCUUUUAUGUUAAAAACUAUCCAUGUUCUUACUAAAGGUUUCGUGUUCGUAUCAUUUUGAACUUUAUUGGACGUAUAAACUAUUACAGUUUUAGAUAAAAAUUAAGAUACGUGACAAAUUCAAUUUUUCAAUUUUCGUUCUAAGUUAUCGUCACAUCAUUUGGUACAACAAUUAUGGAGAUGAGAUAUCAAACCUCCAACUUCUAUAGAAGAAUAAAAGUGAUGCCAACUAUUAUUGUUUUAAGUUGUUAUCAUCCUUUUAGGUCUCAAUUUUUCUUCAUUAUCUAGUAACUUUUAAGCUAUAACUUAUAAUGUUUAGAUGUGUGUGGACGAACGACUCAAUUAAGUGUAGUUUUUUUAAAAGAAUUGUAAAAAAAUAUUGAGAAAAUUUGCAACAAAACAUCUAUAAAUUAUGAUAAUAGUUACAAUUAUACACUUAAACUUUUAAUUUUAAAAAGUUGAUCUCUCAAUCUUAUUCAAAAGUUAAAAUUUGACCAUUAAACUUAGGUCGUUAUUUGAUUGGUAGGAUGUUUGUAAAUUUAAGGCAUAAAUUUGACCCUUUUAAAAAUUUACGGUCUAAUUGUUGAAAUGGAAAAGUUAAAGGGUAGAAUGAUGACUAACACGCUACUUUAUUUAUUUAUUAAGGUAUUUUAGCUUAAUUAUUCAGGGAGGAGUUAAAAUGUAAAAUUUGAAAUAACGAGGACUUAAUUGAAAAGACUCGUUCAUGCGUCUCGGUCAGCGCAAGCCGUAACCCAUUUGUCAGUAUCUAUCAGUUCUACUUCGUUCCUCUCAAGCACCUCAAAGAGAACAGCGCGCCAAAAGCAUCGUUCCGUGUUCCGACCACCACAACAUGCCGGAGUUACCGGAGGUGGAGGCGGCGAGGAGAGCCAUAGAAGAGCAUUGCGUCGGGAAAGUAAUCAAGAAGGCGGUAAUAGCCGACGAUACGAAGGUUAUCGACGGCGUAUCACCUUCCGAUUUUGAGGCUUCGCUCUUAGGCAAAACCAUCCUCUCCGCCCAUCGUAAGGGCAAGCACCUGUGGCUCUGUCUCGAUUCUCCUCCUUUCCCUGCAUUUCACUUCGGUACACUUGCCUCCUUAUUUCCUUUACUUUUUUGAAGUUCAUGUGGUGUUUUGUAGUCACAUUUGGUAUUCUGCUAUUGAAAGUGGGUUGUAUUGCCUUAUUUCUAGUGGAACUGUUCGUUAAUUCAGUUGAAAACUUAGUGAAACUUGGAAUUCAUUGGUUUCAUGUGAAAAAUGCAAAGGGAGGUUAUUAAAAUCAAGUUCGAUUUGGAAGUAUAUGAGUGUGAAUAGUUGUUUCAACUAUUGUGGAUUUUAGAGUAUGGUAGUUCUAGUUCUAGAUUCCAAAUUCAUAAUGCGACUGCCUCAACUUUGUUUAAUUUGUUUUUUGGAAGCACUAAUUUUGUCUCCCCAAUUGAAGUCGGCUGCUGGCACUCAUUUCUCCCGUGCUAAAGUAUUUAGAUUGUUAGCUAAUAAAGCUUUUUUGUUUAUUGGUGAUCAACCCUUUUGUUUUAGACAUUCUCUUCCUACUUUUUUUUCACAACACUGAUUCUCUUACCAUUUUAGACUUCCUUUAAUCUCGUUCAUGUUCAUGUUGAUUUGCUUCAGGGAUGGCAGGUGCCAUAUAUAUUAAAGGUGUGGCUGUCACAAACUAUAAAAGGUCAGACAUGAUUAGACCAAAUUUAUUGUAAAGGCAUUGAGCAAUUAUGCGUAGAAAGUUAUGCUUAUAUCUUUUUGGUUCUGGCGUUGGCACUUGUAUAAAGGGAUGGUUUUUUUUUACUUGGUUUAUGGCUAAAUGAAAAUUUUUAAGAGGAAUCGAAUUUCUUGUUUCAAGAUUUUAAUUUGGCAGUUCUUCAUGUUGAAAGCUCCUUGAUAGAAAUAUAGAAAUUGUAUGACCUAUUAGUUAUAGUACAUGCUUUGAGUGAUACGAGAGGACUAGAUAGAUAGAGAGUUUUUAUUUUAUUUUUAUUUUUAUUCUUUUUUCCUUUUGGAGUUAAAAGAGUGGGAGGAUUCAAAAUUUUGACCUCUUGGUUGAGAGCUUGAGAAUAGAGAACAACUCAUUACUAAAUCAUUAAGUAUAUUUUGUUGUACAAGAUAUCUCCAAUCACGACCAUCAUACUGAACUGAUGAGUAUAUUAACCGCACAUUUGACUAAUCAAGUUAAUAUAGCUGCUCCCUCGUCAUGAAACACAAUUUAAAAUGUUAGAUUUUAUUGCUUGUAGUGUACAAUCGUCCUGGUUUUUUGGUUGCAUAUUUUCUGGGGAUGAUUCGGACCACUCAUAUUAUACAUCCUUACAAAUAUAUUGAUGUGCUUUCCUCAUUUGCCACAAUGAUCUUAGACAGUAAUUUAUGACUCCGACUUUUGUCUAACAAAUGGUGAUAUCUGUAGGUCUAUGGUUAAUGACGAUGAUGAGUGGCCUUCUAAGUACUCUAAGUUCUUUGUUGAGGUAAGAUCGUGUGUUUUCCUUAUUAGGUAUAAGGUUAUCAAGUUGCUAACUAUUUGUUUGUGAGACUAUGUAGCUGAAGUGUUUAUUUGCCUUGCUGUAAUUUACCCUCUUACUUCACAAUUAUUUAAGAUAUUCAUGAUCACAUAAUAAAUUAAUUUAUGUUUGGUUUUUUCUAAUUAUUGUCAUUACAACAUAAUCCCAGAAAUCUCCUUGUGCAGCUCGAUGAUGGUGUAGACCUAUCCUUCACUGACAAAAGGCGAUUUGCAAAAGUCUCCCUGCUCGAAGAUGUACCUUAAUAUUAAUUGUGAAAUACCUUUAAUUUCAUGGAUUUCUUUUAUUAUAUUAUCAUCUUAAUGACGAGUCACCGCCAAUUUCAUGCAUGACUCUUUUUUAGCUUCACUAACAAUUUUGUUUUUACAGCCGGCUUCAGUGCCCCCAAUAUCUAAGCUUGGCCCAGAUGCUCUUCUAGAGCCUAUGGCAUUGGAUGAGUUUAUUGAAUCCCUGAAGAAGAAGAAACUAGCAAUUAAGACUUUAUUGCUUGAUCAGGUAAUCUACACCUUUGUUAGUGGUCUACGUUCAUUGUUCGCAAUGCAUGGUUAAUCGAUUUAUUUGAAGCUGUCUCUUUCCUGAUGUUUAACAAUAAGAGUGGCUUUGUUUGGUACCUGUUUGGUGUUCGAUUAAAAACUGACUCAGUGUGAAGUUGCAGUGUCAGAGUGUUAUAUGAUUUCAUUUCUACUAAGAAUUAGAAAUGAAAUUUUAUUUUCAAUGCUAUGGAGGAUCAAAAAUGAAAUUUUAUUUUCUCAUUUUACUAUUAUGAUUUGUAUUAAUCUUCGCCUCACUUCACAGAGUUACAUUUCGGGUAUUGGCAAUUGGGUUGCAGAUGAAGUGCUUUAUCAAGUAAGUUCACCUCAGGGAUGAUGUAUAUUUCAUGGUGUUACUCUGAGGGUGUAGAUAUAUGGAUACAUUUUCUUUUUUCUUUCGUUCGUAGAGACUACUUAGAGGGCUCCAGAUGAGUACUAAUCAGUUUAAAACAUCUAUUUAAAAACAAAAAUCUCAGGCAAGAAUUCAUCCAAAUCAAAGUGCUGCAACCCUCUCCAAAGAAAGUUGUGCAGCUUUGCAUAAGAGCAUACAGGAGGUACGACUUUACUUUCUUUCCUCUUCCCCUCCAAAUCAUCCCCAACCCUUGCGGCCCUAGUUGGAGUUAGGCAUGCUGCACCCUUUAGAGAUAUUCAUAGAAAAACAUUCAUUCUUCAUGGAAAAUAUAGAGGAACCACCUGUAGGUCCUUAAAAGAGCAGUUGAAGUUGAUGCUGAGUCCAACAGCUUUCCUGAAGAAUGGUUGUUUCAUUUUCGAUGGGGAAAAAGGCCUGGACAGGUCAAUGGUAAGCUCAGUUAGAUGUUUUAGCAUUUUGAUGAAGCAACUGUAUUCACAGGUAAUUGAAAAAGCGCUUGAAGUUGGAGCAGAUAGUAGUCGGUUCCCUAAUAAUUGGAUUUUCCAUUCACGUGAAAAGAAGCCUGGCAAGGCUUUUGUUGAUGGUUUGCUCUUGACACUCUAAGAUCUUAUACUCCAUCGGUUUCAUGAUUUCCAAUGCUCUGAACUUAUUUGAACAUGAACUGUUCUAAUUCAAUAAAUUUUCAUUCGAAGAAAAGCAAAAUAUCAACGACUUUUUAAUUGACCAUUUCGCUUGUUGGCUUACUUAAAAUUGGCUGCUAUACCUUCUCAGGCGGUUGCUUCCUUAAAAACAUUGAACCAAUAGUAAUUCAUAACUACAUUUCCUUUUAUCUUCUGCAAUGGAAAAACGAGUAGAAAUAACUAUCAUGUUAGUAGAAAUAUGUUUGAUUUGUUGAUGAGGUCCGCAAUGUUAAAAAAGUCAUGGUAUUCUUGGCUUACCUUCUCUUGCAUAUAACAUCAAUUUGUUUUUGGUAUUGUUUUGGCGUUCUCUUAAACAUGUACCUGUAUACUGCAGGUAAGGAAAUCCACUUUAUCACCACAGGUGGCAGGGUAUGUUGUUGUAUAAAGACAUGCUCACAAUAAUUUUAAUUAUUUCAAAAUCACUCCUAAACAUGCAUUUAAAGGCCUCAUUUGAUGAAUAUAUUAUUGACUUAUCUUAGACAUCAGCCUUUGUACCUGAGUUGCAAAAGCUUACUGGAGCUGAACCGAAAAAUCAAAACUCAAAGAGAAAAGGCAACGAUAACAAGAAAAUGAAUGAUGAGAGCGAUGGUGAACUAGUGAGCAAGACAAAGAAAACUGCCGAUAUUAAGCAGAAGCCAAAGCCUAAAGGUCGCUCUAAGAAACCUUCAAAAAGAAAAUCCAAAAGCGAGGACGAUGAUGGGUCUGACGAGGAAGCUGAAAAUGAUGAUGCUAGUGAUGAUGACAAUGGUCGCCCUGAAGGAAAGAAGAAAGUGGGAACGAAAACAAAUAUUGGACAAAGGUUUGAUGCUGCUUCUGAACCAGAUAAGUCUUUGAAGCAAACGGUUCGGAGCAGUCAAAUUGGUAGGCGGAGGAAGAAAGCAAAGUAAGUUUAUUUCCUAAGACAUCAUGUGUAGUAUUUUGUGUGUGGGGGGUUUAACUAUGAGAACAUCAAUCUAUAGAAGAACUUGCCCUUUUGUCGUUACUGUUAAUCCUACCCGUAGAUGUGGGGCAUGACUUUUGUAUCAUCCGUGCAUUUUGAAUGGAGAUGUUCAGCUCGGUUUUUCUUCUUCUAAAUGCACGGUUGUGCUCACAUCAUUUAUAUAUAUAUAUAUAUAUUGAUGUCCUCAUCUUAAUUAAUCUCAUAAAACAACUCGUUUGACCGGAAUGAUAUUAAAACUUAAGUUAGAUUGAACCCAUUGUUUAUAUUUUAGAACCUAUUUACGUAAUGAGUUUUCUAGACUACGUUUAACAAAACAUAGAAUAAGGGAACUAUGUGUAUUUUUUUUUGGCGGUAAGAGAUGAAAGACUUAAAUGAUAUUAUUGCUAUUAGAACUCUGUUUUGGGUAAUUUAUUUGCUCAUAUUGUACAAUUACAGGUUUUUGACAUGAUUUUUUCUAAAAGUGAAAUAAAACUUUUCAAAGGUUAAGGUCAAACUUGUAAUCAAAUACACAAGUUAGGGAUAGAAUUCGUAUCGACAAAAGUGAAGAAAAAAACCUUUAGCAACAUGAACUAAUUUUACUUUGCAUUCUUUUAAAAUAUGAUCUUUUUUAAAUAGAAAAAUUUGACGAAUUAUUUACCCUUUAUAGAACAAAUCUGCUAAAAGAUAAAAAAAAUUACACUUUGUUUUUCUACAAAGUGUAAAUAUUUUGUCAAAUAUUCUAUUUUUUAAAUUUUUCUACAAUUUUUUUGUAAUUAUUAUUAUGACAAAUAGAGAUUAGAAAUAAGUAUCAAACCAUAUGUUGAAGUUGAACCUUAUGUCUCACAUUGAAGUUGAAAUAUUUACCUAUGGAAAGAAUAUAUUGAAAGAAAUGUUUAGUAUAAAUAAUUAAAUGGAGAUUUAUUAAAUACUAAGGAUUAAAUUGAAAUAACAAAAGUAUACUAAAACACAUAGACGACAUGUCGUUUUUACGGGAAGAAAAUCAUACAGAAAUGUCAGCCCAAGCCAAGCCAAAGCCCAAGCCCAGAGUGGCUUGUGGGAAAGGCUAAUGUAUCGGACUUUGACGCACCGAAGCUGAACGCUGUGCACCCACCAUGACCGGCGAUGACUCGUUUUCUCCGAACGACGACGCCUUCGCGGCGAAUCCUAACUUUCACAUCUCUGUAAGUUAAUUCGCACUCCAGAUUUGUUCUUGAGCUCUAUGUUUUCCUGUUAGAGAUUAAAGUUUCUCUCUCCUGUCACUGCUGCCAUUGGUAGGGUUUUAAGGCUUGAAUUUAUCUAAUGAAUUUUGUUACUCAUCGCUCUGCAAGGGACAUUAAGGAAAUUAAGUUGUUUUUUACUUAGAAACUUUACAAAAUCCGAUGAAAUGAGGGUGAAUUUGCUCUCUGGUUUCUGUAUUUUGAAUACGGCUUUACAUGUGGUGGUGAGGAGAUUUUGUCUGCUAUUAUCAUGAAUGUGAAGCAUGUAUGAAUAUGGAGUCCUUUUAUAGCCUUCAAUGUCAAUUGAUGUUGAUAAAAUUUGGAUAUUUUUCUGUUUUGGCACUUGUCCUUUAGCAAGGAGGAGUUUCUGUGUUCUAAUGAGUUGUUUUCUUAUUUAUUUAGAUAGAAGAAGGCUCUCAAAAUAGUGGAGAAUUGGUUGAGGAAGAUGGGAAUAAUCUUGAGAAUGAAUGUGAGGAAUUAUUUCGGAUUGAUGAUGAUGAUUUUGAUGAUGAUAGAGAUGAAAAAGUCCUGUUAGAUGGUCUUCGAAAUCAUGGAAAUGAUGUAAAUAUAAGUGAUGGUAAUGAAAGCUUUGGUGAUGAUAUAAGCAUAAAUGCUGACCAUGAGCACGACAGAGAUGAAAGUCCUCUAAUUGAUUGUCAAAUUGAUUUAUCUGGAGAUAAGGAUUAUCCCUCUCCAGUUGCUGGGAUGGAAUUCGAGUCGUAUGAUGAUGCUUAUAAUUAUUAUAAUUGCUAUGCUAAGGAACUUGGCUUUGCCAUUCGAGUGAAAUCCUCAUGGACUAAACGGAAUAGCAAAGAGAAACGUGGUGCAGUUCUCUGUUGCAACUGCGAGGGGUUCAAAACCCUUAAAGAAGUUAACAGUAGAAGAAAAGAAACUAGGACGGGGUGUUUGGCGAUGAUUAGAUUGAGAUUAGUAGAUUUUAACCGCUGGAGAGUGGAUGAGGUAAAGCUUGAGCAUAACCAUUCUUUUGAUCCUGAAAGAGCUCAGAACUCCAAGUCCCACAAAAGGAUGGAUACUGGGACUAAAAGAAAGGUUGAACCAACCAUUGAUGUAGAGGUUCGAACAAUCAAGCUAUAUCGAGGUUCUGGAUUGGAUGCAAUUGACCAUCAGGGCUUAAAUUCUAAUGGAGAAUCUAAAAUACAUGUCUACAAGCCUAGGCUCCUGCUGCUCAAGAAAGGUGAUGCCCAAGUCAUUCAUACUUUUUUUCAUCGAGUUCAGCUUACUGAUCCAAAUUUUUUCUAUGUGAUGGAUCUUUAUGAAGAAGGUCUUUUGAGAAAUGUUUUUUGGAUCAAUUCCAGGUGCAGAGCUGCGUACAAUUAUUUCAAUGAUGUGGUAGCAUUUGACACUACGUGUUUGUCCAGCAACUUUGAGAUUCCACUCUUUGCGUUUGUUGGAAUAAAUCAUCAUGGGCAAUCUAUCUUACUUGGCUGUGGAUUACUUGCAGAUGAGACGCUAGAAACAUAUGUUUGGUUAUUAAGGGCAUGGCUUACAUGUAUGUCUGGCCGCCCCCCACAGACUAUCAUCUCAAACCGAUGCAAGGCUUUGCAAGGAGCAAUAGCUGAGGUUUUUCCAAGGGCUCAUCAUCGGCUUUGUCUAUCAUAUGUCAUGCAAAGCAUUCUCGAGAAUGUGGGAGAGUUGCAAGAGUCUGAAACAUUUUAUGCAGUGCUAAGUAGGACAAUAUACAAUUAUGUAAAAGUGGAAGAGUUCGAAAUGGCUUGGGAAGAUAUGAUCCAGCAUUUUGGGAUAAAAAAUAACGAGUGUAUUCAAAGUUUGUACGACGAGAGAGAGCGGUGGGCACCUGUUUUCUCAAAAGAUACAUUCUUUGCUGGAAUGUAUAACUGCCAAAAAGGUGACUGGAUAGUUCCUUUUUUUCAUGGUUAUGUGCACCAACAAACUUCUCUGAAAGAAUUCUUCGACAUAUACGAAUUAGUUCUUCAUAAAAAGCAAGAGAUGGAAACUCACAAGGAUUUGGAGUCCAGUGAUUUGAGCCCCUUGCUAAAGUCAAGAUGCCUCUUUGAGUUGCAGCUGGCUAAAUUAUACACGAUGGAGAUAUUCAGCAAAUUUCAAGAUGAAAUAAUGAUGAUGUCUUCUUGCUUUAGCCUUUCUCAAGUUGAGACAAACGGUGGACCCAUCAUGACGUUCAUGGUCAAAGAGCGUGAAGGCGAGGAGAUUCCUCGAGAUGGAAGGGCUUAUGAGGUUAUGUAUGAUAAAGCAGGAGGAGAAGUCCGCUGCAUUUGCAACUGCUUCAACUUCAAAGGCUAUCUAUGCCGACAUGCACUGUUCAUCCUAAGUUACAAUGGGAUAGACGAAAUUCCAUAUCAGUAUAUUCUAUCGCGGUGGAGGAAGGAUUUUAAACGCCUUUAUGUUCCAGAUCUUGGAUGCCAUAAUAUAGAUAUUACAAACCCAGUUCAGUGGUUUGAUCACUUAUACAGAAGAGCAACACAAGUUGUUCAAGAAGGUAUGACAUCUCAAGAUCACUAUAUGGUGGCUUGGCAAGCACUUAAGGAGUCCUUAAACAAGGUACGUCUUGUUCCUGAUAGGCAUGUAUAAAUUGGCUAUACCAAUCUUGUAAAUAACGUGACAUUUUUCUGUACAUUAUAUCACAUAGGUGCAGUUAUGCCUAAAGAGCCUAAAGAUUAGAUUUUGUUUGAUAUUCUUUUUUUUAGUUUUCAGUUUUAAAAAUUGAAGUUGUAUAUGCAUUUGUUUUUUGAUGUUUUUAUAAAUAGAAAACAAAAAAUGACUUUCAAACGGAUUCUAUUUUAUAUAUGUUCAAUUUUGUAUAAGGAAAAUAUGGCUCUGUUAGGCUUUUGACGUGGUUAGCUACUCCAAUUAUGUCUUUGUGCCAAAGUAUAGUGCUGAAUAUUCUCAUUAGGGGUGAGUUUAUGGUGGAAAGUGUCUCAUAUCCCGAGAACAUAACUCAAUUGACUUCGAUGUUCUCAAUUGACUUAGGUAUAUACAGUCGUUCAAGAGGUCAAAAUCUCUCAUGGUUGAACUCAAAAGAAUAUCUUAUCACAAGUUCAAUUGUCUCUCUACAAGAACAAAAGAUAUUUUCUUUGUUUUCACUAGACUUUCGUAGAGAGAGAAAUGAAAGAAUACACUGACACAUAAAAGUAUAAAGUCCCCAAAAAUUUUGGCUGGGUUUGUUGUCAUAUAUUUUCAAAUUUCCUGAUUGAUCUGAAUAGCUUGUUAAGAGCUCACACCUUCCAUGAAAAGAGAAGAAUGAGAAUAACUUUGGAGCUAUAUAUAUGAGGAAGAAAAGAACCAGGAUAUAGGAAAAGGGAGAAUUGUAUGAAGAAAUAUCUUGAAAUCUCAUUUGUCAGCUGUUUUAUUUUUAAAUGAUAAAAAAUGUCAGUAAUUCGUAGGGAUGCAAUAAAAAAUUUCACAAAGUUACCUGAACAUUUUGUUAGCAUAGUUUAAAUGGUGACUAAUAGUGGUUACAUCAUCUACUUAAGACUUAAAAUCCUUUAAAUUACUAUGACAACUAAGUACAGUGAGGCUAGACGAUUUUUCUUUGAAAAUAGCUUAGGUGCAUGCAAUGUGGUUUUGGACGUCGUGGACCAAUAUAAACAAGGAGUGACAAGUAAAUGUGAACUCAAAUCUCUAUUCCCCAUUGAAGCUUUUGAAAGAAAGUCUUCUUUGCCUUACGUUCAUAGUCUUGUUUUGGUUGCAUCCACUAUAGUUAUUUCAUAUCCAUGCUAUUGUCGUCGACUUGUUCCUAUAUGAAGUGCCGAGGAAAACAAAAACUCUAUUUUCGUGAUACGGUAAUCAUAAUGAAAAAGAGAGUCCACUCAUAAUGGGUUGGUCUUUCAGUUCAAUUGUUUUCAAUCUCUAUUUUUGAGCAUGGAUGGUACCCUUCACGUACAACUGAAUGACAUUUGUGAUUGGCAAGGAGAAGGCAUUGAAUUGCACGAUUUAAAUGUUCUCAUUUCAGGUGCUACGUACAAGCAUGAAAAAGAACUCAAAGUCAUAAUGAUGCUUUCCCAUCAAAUUUAAAUUUCAUCCAAUAAGACUAUAAACACACGAAAAUGUUGACAAUUUUUAUCCUCUACUUUGCUAAUUCAUUUACUAAUCACACCAAAAAAAGAAAAAAAUAAAUCAUAAAACUCUUGAAUUGAAUGAAAAUCAAGCUUUCUAUCAAAUUAACUUUGAUUGAUGUAAACUCAACUUUACUAUUGUUUCUAUUCGAAUCUUAUUAAUUUCAUACCACUUUUAUAUUUUAUAAUUUAUUGAACGCUUGUGACUUUAUUUCAACAAUAAUUCAUCAUAUCUUAUGGUAAAAUUGAUGACACCUAAUUUUUAAUUUACUUAUUUUAAUAGUUGAAUUGAGUUACAAUUAGGUUAGAUCAACGAUAAUAAUGUUUCUUUCUUGUUAUUAGAUUUUUAGUUACAAAAUGAAUAUAACUCAACUGAUCAAAUGAUACUCCUAACAAUCUCAAAAUGAAUAUAACUCAACUGAUCAAAUGAUACUCCUAACAAUCUAAGAAGCACAGACACUUAUUUUUUGUUAGUGUAUCUAUGUCCAACACGCCUUAGACAAUGAACUCAUAUUUUGCACGUAUUGAGUAAACUAAAAAGACAUAUACAUGUAAGAAAAUUUUUUGUUAGUGUAUCUAUGUCCAACACGCCUUAGACAAUGAACUCAUAUUUUGCACGUAUUGAGUAAACUAAAAAGACAUAUACAUGUAAGAAAAAUAACUUUUGAGAGUGGAAUAAAUCAAGUGAAAUAUUGUAACUUGUAAGUAUAUAAAUUCAUCGACUCACUUGCUAUGAAUUUCUUUUUACUUUAAGAAGGCAUAUAUGUUUAAAAAUGAAUAUUUUGAGGUGGACGUUGCAUCUGGCUUAUUAGCUAUCAAUCUCAACGUUAGAAUUUCGAUUUUUUCGUUCGUUUUCAAUAAUUUAUAUAUUAAAGAAAAAGUAUAUUACGAAGAAAACAAUUUUGUAGCUGUUUUUUGUUUUUGUAAUUAAAGAAAAAAGGGUAAAUUUGCCACUGAUAGUUAUGAAGAAGAAGAAGAAGGUUGUUCAACAGCAGGAUGAGAAUGGGUAGGUUGAUGAUUAACAAUGGCGUUACGAACAACACCAAUUACAACCAUGGAGAAGCCACCACAUAUACCUGAAAACUUCCCUUCUCCAAGGUCAGGCGCUUUCUAGAUUUCUUUCCCCCCUUUUUCUAGCUCAUUCCAUGGAAUCAAUGAAUUGUACUUCUCAAUCUCCUGUUACCUUACAAUUUUCUACUCUUCUUAUCGAAAUGAAAUUCGAUUAAGCUACGAUUCGAGUUGUGGAGGCCGAAAACCGGAUCGGAACUUUCAAAAUUCUAUGAAUUCGUACCAAAAGAUGAACGGAAUAAAAAAUUGGAGUCUACUUAUAGUUAUUCAACUUUCUCUGGCGUCUAUUUUUUUUUUCUGAAUCUUUUUCUUUUCAUUAGAAAUUGCUGAUUUUCCAUCUAGAGUAGAUGGAUGGAGUUUCUCUCAACACCGAGCCAGUGGGCGAUGAGGAGGGGGAUUAUUUUGAGAUCGAAGGGGAUUCUGUAAUUGCAGAUUAUGUUGAUCAAAGUGGGAUAUUUGAAGGAGAAAAUCCCCUCCCUCCUGCUGUUGGUAUGGAGUUUGAAUCUUAUGAGGAUGUAUACUACUUUUAUAGUUGCUAUGCAAAAGAACAGGGAUUUGGAGUUCGAGUUAGUAACACUUGGUAUAGGAAGAGUAAAGAAAAGUAUAGAGGAAAACUUAGCUGUAGUAGUGCUGGUUUCAAGAAGAAGAGUGAAGCGAAUCGACCGAGACCGGAGACGAGAACUGGUUGCCCAGCUAUGAUAAAAUUUAGGUUGAUGGAUACUAGAAGGUGGAGAAUCAUUGAAGUUGAGCUUGAUCAUAAUCACUUGAUCAACCCGACUAGUGGGAAGUUUUAUAAAUCUCAUAAGAACUUGGGUGUUGGAACCAAGAGAUUGUUGCAACUAGAUAGUGUUGAAGAAGUGCAAAAAGUUCGGUUGUUUCAAACGGUUGUAAUUGACGCUGAUCACAAUGGAUACUUGGAUGUUGAUGAAGGAGAGUUUGGAAAUAGAGUUGAUAAUUCCAAUCAAUUGAAACUUAAUAAAGGAGAUGCUUUAGCUAUUGAAGAUUUUUUAUGUCAAGCACAACUCACAGAUUCAAAUUUCUUUUAUGUCCUGGAUCUUAAUGAGAAGGGAUCUCUGAGGAAUUUGUUUUGGGUUUCUUCAAGGUCAAGGGCUGCUUAUACUUAUUUCAGCGAUGUUGUGUACAUGGAUACAUCAUGUUUAGCAAACAAGUAUCAAGUCCCAUUGGUCUCAAUUAUUGGAGUAAAUCAUCAUGGCCAGUGCGUAUUAUUUGGUUGUGGUUUACUUGCCAUGGAGACAGUAGAGUCAUAUAUAUGGUUGUUUAGAGCAUGGCUUACCUCUGUACUAGGACGACCUCCACAAGUUAUCAUUGCAGAUCAACAUGAAGAACUCCAAAUUGCUCUCACCGAUGUCUUCCCGAGAGCUUCUCAUUGCAUUUCUUUAUCUGAUAUUAUGAGGAAGGUUCCACAGAAGCUUCGAGGAAUGCUUGAAUAUGAAACAAUUGAAAUCGCAAUCUUUAGAGCAGUUUACCACUCCUUGAAGCCAGAACAAUUCGACGCAUUGUGGGAGGGUAUGAUCCAGCAGCACGGACUUGGAGGUCAUAAAUGGCUCCAAGAGCUUUACGAACAUCGGAGACAGUGGGUUCCAGUUUUCAUGAAGGAUACAUUUUUGGCUGGAGUGUUAUCGAUUGUAUCUGGUGACGUAGUUCCGUUUUUCUUUCAAGAAUACUUAGGUGAGCAUACUUCUUUAAAGCAAUUCUUUGAGCAGUAUGAUCAAGCUAUACAAUCGCAUCAUCAACUAGAAGUUCUGGCAGAUGAAGAUUCAAAAAAUUCAAGUCUCAUGCUUGAAUCAAGAUGCUAUUUUGAAGCGCAGCUAUGUAAAUUGUAUACCAAUGAGAUACUUGAAAAGUUUGAGAGAGAGGUGGAGGGAAUGUAUUGUUGUUUUAACAGAAGGAAGUUGAAUGCUGAGGCGCCAUUAAUGACAUAUAUUGUGAAAGAGCAUGUCGAAAUGGAGGGAAGUAGAAGGGAUGCAAGAGAGUUUGAAGUUUCAUACAAUGAAUCUGACAUGGAAGUCCAAUGCAAUUGUGGCUUAUUCAACUCGAAAGGAUAUCUAUGCAGACAUGCUUUAUCCGUUCUUACCCAGAACGGUAUCAAGGAAAUCCCGGCUCAAUAUAUCCUACAACGAUGGAGAAAAGACGUUAAAAGAAAUUACAUUCUCGAUUAUAGUUACACUACUAGUAUUGAUACCAACAGCCAAAUUCAUAGGUAUGACCACAUAUACAGAUCCAUUGUGCAAGUGAUUGAAGAAGGGAGAAAAUCGAAAGAGAAGUACGGUAUCGCUGUACAGGGAAUCAAGGAUAUACUGAGCAAGCUUCGGCUAGGAACCGACACUUCCAGUUGAUCAGUUUACGCAGAUGUAAGGCUAUAGAGAUCUUAGCAGAGGAUUGCGUUGUUAAUUGAUUGAUAUUUGCUUGGUUCAGAGAUGAGAGUUUACUAUCUCACUCUAAUCUAUAUCUAAUUACGAGUUAUGUAUAACUUAACUAGUUAAGCUCUACAACAAAUAGUUCAAAUUUUUUUUUAAAGCAGUGAAACUUUGAAGUAUUAGUUUCUUAUAACAUAAACCAAUGACAAAAUCAUUGCUUUAAGUUUAGUUAAAACUUAAAAGAACAACUUUGUUUUAAAAAUUAGGAAAAUUUGCCUCUUUAGUCAUGUGCAUUUGAUUCGUGAUGUUUCAAAUUUAUCGUUUUAAUUUUGAAGUUUUCAUGAAUAGAUUUAAAUUGUUCUACUGACAAACCCAUUAAAUAUGUGCGUGUGUGUGCAUAUAUAUUUAUAACAUUUCCCCUUCCCUAGUUGGUGAGGAAUGUUUGACCUCCUAAAGUUUUCACAUUAUCAAUACAACAUUCCAUUUUGGAAAGUCGAACUGACUUUUUGCUUGGAUAGAUUGUUUUGGCUUUCUUGAUGAAAUUUCUAUAGAAUUAACCUCGAGAUUCUACGGGUUUUUUCAAAUCUCAUAUUGAAUCUUAACUAAAUUCUUAAUGUUUUUCCAUAUUUGAUUAUCUGUAUCGAAUCUUAUAUCAACCAUUUAUGCAAUUUCUCAAAUCUUUAUGCUCAUUCAUGUGUUCCUUAAAUAUACAAAAUAUUCAAAUUAAUUUACCACAUUUUUAUAUGAAAUUUGGGAAGAUACCAUAGAAAAUUUGACGUGAAGUUAGCCAUUGAUAAAUUUUUUUGAAAAUAUUGCAUAAUAUUUGAAAAUGAUUAUUUGUUGAUAUUGGUUCAUCCCAGACUUUCUCUGUACAAUUUUGCCAAUAACGAACCAAGAUCCAAAUAUAUAUUUUUUUUGUCAAAUAUCAUUUUUUACAUAGUUUACCAAUUAUUUUUAUCAAUGUUUUGAAAAAAAUCAUAUAUCUUGAUAUUCAUACUUGGCAAGAUUCAUGGAGAUAGCAAAAAUGAAUAGAUAGUUUUAGAUAAAGUUCAUUUUAUAUGAAAUCCCAAUCUCGAUCUCAGACGAGACUCAUCGAGAAAAACUAAUUCAACGAAUUUACAAAAAGAGUUCAAAUUUUGAAAAGCGAAAACUUGAAUAGGCUAUUUCAACAAUUUCAAUCCCUAAAACUGUAAGUUAAAAAAUUGUGGGAGUGCGCUCUAAUGGUGGAGCAAGAGAAAUAGGAGACUUCACUUUUCUUUCAAAAUGACAAAGAAAUUUCAAUCAUGGAGGGGGUAGUGAGUUCCAUUAGAUUGAAAGAUAGAGAAAGGAGAGGAGAGGAGGAGGGAGAAAGGUGACAGAGAAUCUAAAAUAUUAAAAAUAUAGCCUUUAUUUGCCUCCAAAUCAUGCCAUCACACAUCACCUUAUCUAUUUAUCUCGUUUAAGUGUAAAUUUAAUGGGUUUGUAAGUAUGAACUUUUGAGCCUAACCUUGAAAAACCAGUGACUAAAUACACAUGGACUUGGUAAAUUUGCCUAUUAAGUUUGACAAGAUUUCCAAUUUCACUAAAAAAAGAAAAACCUGUAACAAACAUCUCUCCAAAUUCUGAGUUAUUCAAAUAAAUCUAUUAAAGAACAGGUGAAAUUGGAUAUGAAGAAAUCGAGUAGAAUUUGAAGUCUGACAAAUACAUUGGAAAAAUGAUAAACUGUAUUCAUUAGUUGGACGUAGAAGAAUAAUAUCUCUAUUCCAUUUCAAACAAUCUUCAACAGGAUGCAACAUAGAAGUCGUAUGUUGCAAGUGAAUGUGAGGCUAUAUCAACAGAAAAAAUUUAUCUAUAUGGAAAGUAAAUCAGAAAGUAAAGACGCUAUUCAGCUUCUAUUAGUCCCAAAAAAUCAUCUCCUAAUAAAAAAAUCAAAAUCUACACUAAAGGAAAGAAAAAUCUAAAACUCACUUUUCACAGUGGUAUCAGAAGUCUCUGUGGAUGAGGAGGAUUGUAAUGAUCCGUACUGUAACCAAUCUCUAGUGCAAAUGAGAGCCUCAAGCGUUGCUGAUGGCAAUGACCUCCGAUAGCUAUCCAUUCUUCUGAUUUCAGUGUCGAAAACUGAAUCACGAGUAACAGUUGACACCGGCAUGGACAGAAUAUCACAAGCCAUUUUUGCCAGCGUAGGAUACCGAUAUUUGUUUAAUCUCCACCAACUCAAGACGUCGAAUUCUUGUGAUUUGGGUGAUAACUCCUCUUCUAAAUAACGAUCUAACUCUGAUUUUGUUUGCUGGCCUUCAGAGAUCUCAGAAAUAUAUACAUCAAAAUCUGAGAGCCCGUCACCUGUUGUAAGAAAGAUUUCUCCCUGAUGUUCUUCAUCCUGCAACUCGGUUAUGGAAAUACCGAUAUUCCCAUCUUCUCCAAAGGUCUCUGAAAGGGUAAGUGUUUCCAUGGUAAACUGGAGAAAAAGAUCAUGGAGACCAUAAUCAACAAUUCUGAUCCACUCCUCUGCAUUUUGAACAAAAAUUUUGGAGAAGAUGAAUUCAACAAGCUUCAACUUGAACCUUGGAUCCAUUACAACUGCCAAUGCUAAAACUAAGCAGCAUUCAUUCCAAUAUUUAUCGAACUUAUCUUUCAAAGGCUUUGUCAGGUCACGAACAAGCGGAUCCUGGCUCAUGCUUGCAUUAGUGAGCUCCGUUUGAAUUUUCGAUACUUCUAGAAAAAAUACAUUGGCAGUUGGAUAACAGGGGGAAGUUAAAAUGUUAGCCACACUGAAAAAAUACUUCAAAUAUGUGCAAAGAGUUUCUGCCACCUUCCAAUCAUCCACUGACAUAUUUAAGUCGUAAUCUGGAUCAGAUGCAUCUAAGCAAGAGAAUACUUCUUUCAGUUCACAGGCUGCUACCAACAUAUGAAAUGUUGUGUCCCACUUGGUUUGAUUAUCGAUUGAAAGCUCCUUAUUGCUGGGUACUUUAAGUUGGUUCUUCAACUCAAGAAACUUCUCCUCUCGCACAGAGGAGGUCUUUACAUACUUCACACUUUCACGAAUCUUCCAUACGACUUCACUCGUUAACGAUAGAGCAUUCUGUGCAAGCUGACAAAGAACUUGAGCUAAGCAAUUUCCUACUAAUAACUGACCAUUAAGAAAAUUUGGGUCAUUAGCAACUAGGAAAUUUCUAAAGUUCAUAGCAAUGGUAUCACUCAAAAAGGACUGAUCAACUGUUAGGGCGUAGACACGUCCACUCAAUUGCCAAUUAGAUAAGCAAGUGACAACGGCUAGAAUAAGGGCAUCAUCCUUGAGAGAGGGUAUUCUAAUAACAUUUAGGAUUCGGCAAUGUGAGUUCCAAUUAUUGUCGAUGAAAUGUCCUUUCAAGAAGACAUAACAAGUGGUGUCACUAGAAGUCCAAACAUCUAUCGAUAAACUUAUUCGACUAGGAAUUCCACAAACAAAAUUUAAGAGGCUUUCUUUCUCUCUAAGGUAAAUUGACGUGCACUCUUCCUGUACUGUGGUGUAGCUCAUCAUAUUGAACUGCGGUUGAAGAUUUUUUACAAAAUCAAUAAAACCGGGCUGCUCUACCAUGUAAAGUGGAUACUCAUGCAUAAUAAUCAUGAUGGCAAUAUCAUGAUUACAUCGAUUUUGAUCAAAGGUAAAACUUGCAAAUGUAGGAGUUGCCCUGUACCGUUUUCUAGGUGGAUUGGCAGUAUUCCUCUUGGCGAAAGUUGUAUGUGUACCAUUAGACUGGUUCCGCUCACGGCUUACAGGGCAGAUGCCUAACGCAAUGUGACGCUUUAGGUGGCUGGUGCCUGCUAGCUUUGAACCAUUAAUGUAAGCAAAAGCUUUAUUGCACUGAUUACAAUAGGCUUUGAUACAUCCAUCUUCAGCCGUCUGAACAGUGAAAUAAUCCCAAACAAAAGACUUUUUCCUUCUACGCUUGCUUGAACUAUCCAUAGGUGUUAAAGGAAGAUAAGGUUCUAGUUCCAUUGAAGUUGUAACACUGCAAGAUAAACAACAAGUUUACACUAAACAUUCAUCAUCAUACACAAUAUUAACUCAACCUCGACAUAAUGCCACAAAUUUACAAAAACACAUUCUUCCAAAAAUUCAAAAUUCGUAAAAGGAAGUAAAAAACUCAAUGCACAUAAUGCAACAGCAUCCAAAAAGAUACAAACAAAUAAGAAUCCCCCACCCCACUACCCUGUUUUUACGCACCAAAUUCAAGCAAAUAACACUUCUUACUUUCUUCUCAAACUUCGUCAAAACAAUGCCCAUCCUAUAUAUACUCUCUUAGGAAGCCGGAUACAGGAAAAAAAAAAAGGAUAUAAGAAAACAAUAAACAUACCCAGAUUGAUGAGUUUCGUUAUCAGUUUCUCCGUUUUGCAACUCCAUCUCACAGAGAAUCAACAAAAAAAAAAAAAAAAGUGCUGGGUUUGGUAUAAUCUUCGGACUGUGUAAAAAAGGUUAUUUAAAAAAAAGUUGGAGAAAGAGAAAAUUUGAAAAUUUGGCGCAAGGUCGGUUGUGGAGGUUGAAGACGAAGUAUAAUGGGCUUUGCGGUUCAGAGCUUCAUAAACCCUAAAGUGGACCAAAACGAAAACGAACAAAUAAGUAAACAAUAUAAUAAAUUAAUAAAUAAAUAAGGUGAAAAAGGGAAUAAGAGAAUAAGGGAAUUAGGGAAUUAGGGCGAAUUUACCACAAACGUAUCUCAAACUCAAUUCCAUUUAUUUUUAAUCUUCACCCUCCAUUUCUUUUAUCCUUUUAAUUUUGGGAAACUAUUUAAAAUAUAGCCAAUGUUAUAGAAUCUACGAUUUUCUUUCGUUAUAUUUUAAGAUAAUUCUUUUAUGUUUGUUAGGAGUUUUCUAAAAAAUAGAGAGGGAAAAACAAAUUAUUCAUACUUACAGAAAAAUUAUUAUAAUUUAUUUUUUGUAUAGAUGAUAAUUAUUUUGUCAUAUUUUUAUUUUUGAAAAUUUCUCAAUUGAUUGUUUUAAAUGGCAAGAUUAAUUUUUAAAUAGAAAAAUUAUUUUAAAAGGCAAAACUGCUUACAUCAUUUAUAUUUCAUUAAUGGUAAAUAUUUUACAAAAUUUUACUUGGUUCUUGAUAGAUUUGGAUAGUCGUUUAUUAUUUUAUAUCACUAAAGUGAUAGAUGUCUAUAAGCAAAAAUAAAAUUUUGAUUAUAUUUGUGAAUAAAUUGAUUUAGUUUGUUAUAUAUAUAUAUUUGAAAACAUCCCUAUUUGAAAUUGAUUUAGUUUUAAAUUAAGUUUGGGUUCCUUAAAAGUUUUAAAAUUAGGUUUCAACCUCUCAUCAACUUGAGUAAUUUGGAAGAGUUAGGUUGAAUAGUUAAAAAAACAACUCACGACUAAAAAAAUUAAGGAGGAUUAUUAUCUCCUUAUUCACAUCAACUAUUAUCUCCUUAUUCGCAUCAACUCACUUUCACAUUUCACACUCACGUUAUUUGUAUCAACUACUCAAUUACUUUCCUAUAAUUAUUAUCCACUUAAUUCAACUAAACUUUUUGAGAGGAGGAGAAGAAAUAAGAAAAGAUAUUGAAGAAAUUAAAAGAAUAGUCCUUCCAUAGAUUUCUGAUUUUUAAAUUCGAGGAUAGAUUACUUCCAAAUCGUCUCAAAUAAAUGGAAUAAAGACAAAAAAUAAAAAGUAUUACAAAUAAGAAAAGAUGCUUAAUGUCAUCUACAAAACUGUUGUUUGUGUCUUAUAACUACACACUUAUAAUGUUCAUGUAACAUCACAUACUUGUGAUCAAAUAUAGGCUACAAAUAAUGGCAUUUUCAGUUUUUGUAAAAUUGAUCGAGUUGGUAAAAUUUGUGCAUGUGAAUGUCAAUUUUUCAAUAUACUUGUUUUAACACACAACAAUUAAAACCACCCUAAUUUGAAAGAGAGAGAAAUCAGUAAAGUUAGAAGUUGAACAAAUGCAAAGUGUUAAAACUCUAUUUAUAAAUUGACACAGAAAGCAUAAAAAAUCUAUUUCGUUGCUAAACAUUUUAAACAUCUUGAACAAAGUACAAGGGAUGGUUGUGGCUGUGGUGAAAUUACCGAGUCAAAAAACGGGGUAAAAAUAAUUAGCUCGAACCGUCGCAACUGUAACCAUGCACCAGAGAACAAAUAAAUAUACAUAUUUGUUCGAUGGCUUAAUCAAUCCAGUGAAAUCGUCGACGUCGUCGUGUUUUUCCCUGUAGAAGAUCAGUAUUGCCACACGUUCUGAAAGACGAUCUUGUUGGAAUAAGAGAAUUCGAACCAAACUUCGAAUCAAAGCUCUACUUAUCUCCACCUCCAAACAUUCCCAUCAUAUCUUUAUUUGAACCCAUUUGCUUCAUCAAGCUCUGUAAGCCACCCAUUCCACCAAUUUGCUUCAAAAUCUGGGGAGGAAGGACCUUACUCAUGUGCUGUGCGUUCAUAUUUCGUGAUAGUGCGCUCAUUUCGCCCUUCUUUGGGAUCUUCAGCCCUUUCAUCUUGCUCCAUACCUUGGCGAGACGCUUGUACUCUUCCAUCAUUUCCAUUACUUCCUGAACACGGUGACCUGAACCUCGUGCUAUUCGCAUCAUUCGCGACUCGUUUAUGAGCUUUGGGUUUGUGCUAUCCAAUUCUGUUUAAAAUAUUAAAGGAUCAUUUAGCACCAAAUUCAACCAGGACAAAAUAUCCACAGCAAAAUAAGAAGGGAAGGAUAUGUGGAUAAUUUCUACUAGCCUUCAUCCGUCAUUGAGUCCAUCAUAGUCAUGUACCGCUUAAGUUUCGCCUGGCUUUCCUUUUCACGUCCUUUUGGCAUCAAAUCAGCACUAUAUCCGGGUAGCAUUGAAAAUACCUAAAGAGACCAGUUCUUAGAGUACUGCCUAUACGUUUAUUCAAGAAUUUAUUAAUGAAAAGACCAACUUCAAAAAGAGAAUUAGAAGCUUGACCCACCUACUUUUCAGAAUAAGCAAUCCUAGUAUUACCAAUUAUUUAGAGCAGGCCUAUGUUCAAAUUACAUAAGAACACGCAUUCUCUCAAUUUUUUAUCCCGUGAACUCGGCUAGCCACACUUAUAAUGCUCUGGAUCUCAAUAUCUCCACCUUACCAAUUAAAAACCUUUUUGCUAUGGAAGUUGUAGAAUAAAUGCUUCUGUAAAUAAGUAUGUGUAGGAAUAGGAUACAACCCGAUCUUCCCCUAUAAAGUGUAGUAUUGUAAGAAACAGAAGGUAUUUCUAAGACUUGUAUCAAAAGCAUUAAUCUUGCCAUUUUGUGAGUGUAAAGAUUAGAACUGAACAAGAGAAACAACUCUUACUACAACAAACCUUUAGGGCAUGUUGGGAGGAUGGAGUGGAAUGAGUUUGUCGUGGGUUUUGAUUCCAGCCUAUGUUUGCAUUUUGGGUCCAUUUUGUAAUAUCAAACUCAUUCACUUUCCAAAAUUUUCAACCCAACUCCCUUCCAACCAUUUUGAUGCUUCACAAUCCCAUUCCCGUUAUGCCCUCGAUUCCCAACUCAUUCCAAUGCCCCUACGAUCUUCAGUAAUCUUCAUUACAUUCAUGCCUCCCAAAUAACCCCUUAAGUCAUAGUACUACCACCAAAAAACCCCUUGAGUCACACUACUACCACCAAAUCUCCCUUAGAAAUUUCAAAAGGUCAACCCACUUUUUCUUCUAAAAUAUGACAGGAGCAAACAAUAAAAUUACAGUAUAUUAUACCCGAUGCAAGUAAUACCUGGUUAAUUGGACCCAUCUUAAGUAAGUUCUGAAACUGAUCGUACAUAAUUCUCAAAGUAAAAUUUCCUUCUGAAAGCUUUUGCAAAAGCUCUGGUUGCUGAUCCAUUGGCACGACUUCAUGAAUUUUAUCCAUGAAACCAGACCAGUCUCCCAUGCCUAAACAAAUGAUGCAGUCGCUUAAUAAACAGGUAACAACAGGCAGCUAAUGCAAAAAGUUUAGAUUCAAUCGAAAAAUCACCUAGAAGACGGCUGACAAAUGGUUUAACAUCAAAAACUUCAAACUCAUCCAUAUGUUCUCCUGUUCCAAUGAAAAUAACCGGACUCUUUGUUGCUGCAACACUGCAACAAUAAGUAGAAAUUGAGGAAAGAGAUUUAGUUCAUAAUACUCUAUGCAUCAAUUUAACCAAGUAAUAACCAGGUCAUUUAAUCAAAGAAAAAUCUGAAGAAUUUCAACUGAUAAAUUCCACAAGGCUAACAAACUAUGAAGCAAAAUAAAACUUUGGUAAAACAAUUUGCACAAAGUUAGCAUCCUUCAGUAUGGUUCUUCGUCCCCAGAAAGGGAAAACAAAAGUUUUGAAACUUACGCACUAAGAGCACCACCUCCCUUUGCGUGACCAUCCAUCUUGGUCACAAUCACAGCACCAACUGCAACACUUUGUUUAAAUGCUUGAGCCUGGUCAAAUGCCGCUUGACCGAUACUGCUAUCCAUGACAAAUAUAACGAGAUCCGGUUUCUAGACAACGCAAAGAACAGUCAGAAAUUUUAACAAGUUAUCAUCAAAUGGCCAUAAAAUAAUAAGACAAGAAAAAUACCGUCGCUUCAGAAACUUGACGCAUUUCUUCAAAAAGAGCAGCUUCCUGUUUGUGACGCCCACUGGUAUCAACAAUUAUGAGAUCACAACUUUCUUUCUUGAAUCUUUCCACACCUUCUACCGCAAUUUUAACAGGAUCCGAUUCCAUGUAACUACAAAAUGGGGAAAUAAAGAAAAAUUGAAAUACUGAAUGACAACUUGACUAAUAAAUCAAGCACACUGAGAGAGGAAGAAAACUCCAACCCAUAAAAGUAUAAACAAAAAAGAACAAGAAAAAAAUGACCAAAAUCACACACAUGAAUUUACAUUUUUAAGGUCCGGGACACGCCCAGAACCAUAAACUAUAAAGGAAACACACCUCCUACUUCUUCCAUACCUCACCCAUUCCCAUCCCCAACCAUAUCACAAAUGUGCUAUGCUAAAAGAAGAAAGAUUAAGAGUCUAAUACUCUCAAACAAAAGGAUCAAUGCAUGCAAUAAUAUAAAGUAUUUUCCUCGUAGCAGAAAAAGUUCGAGGUAGGAUACUACAAUAAAACUGUAAAAUGAUAACUAAAUAACCAAUUUGGUAAAACCACCCCUCAUAUAUGGUUCCUAUUCUUUCCAAUAAGACUAAACCAUGCUUCCACGAUCACAUAAAUGAACGGUAAAAAUAGUAUAUAUGAACUACCCUACCUUCCAUAAAAGGGAAUCUUUGCUUUGGUUGCAUUCUGCUUCAAUUGAUCAAAAGCACCAGCUCUGAAUGUAUCUGCACAGACCAAAGCAGGCUUCCAGCCUUUCUUCUGAUGAUAAUAUGCGUACUUAGUACAUGUUGUGGUUUUCCCAGACCCUGAAUUUUAAAUAUUUAAAAAAGUAAAGAUUAAUCAAUAACAUAAAGAAAAAAUAGUGACUAACAAGUAAUGAUGAUAACAGUACAAACCCUCAUCAUUCUACAUGGUAGAAAGCCACAUUUAAGUGGAUCUUUAAACAGGUAAUAAAGACAACAAUGUUACACCUGUAACAUACCUUGCAAACCAACAAACAUGACAACACUUGUUUUUCCUUUCUUUGGUGUAAAAGAAGGCUUUCCAGGAUCUAGCAUUUUGCACAGUUCAUUAAAUACAGCCUACAGAGGGAGAAGAGAAAACAUCUUAAAACCUAGCUCCAAAUACCAAUAAUGAUACAAAUAGGUAAAUCUUAAAAUAAAUGAGUUACGAAUUUCAUUAGAUGGGUCCCAUCGCACAAGUUCUAAAGAUGUCCAUCAAAAGAAAUGUAAUGUUUAAGAAGGGCAGAACUAUAGUAUGCCAAAUGAAUUGCAUUAGCUUUUUGAGAUUGCACUUCUUUCAUCAAGCCAUCCAGAAGGAAGGAGAACCCCAUUUUAAUAAAACAAGUAAAUAAAGGGGUAAACAAAAGAUUUGAAAUAGAUCUAGGGUAUUGGGAUUGUUCAAUGUUCUAAACAAACAUCCAUCCAACAUCUAGAAAGCAAGAGUAGGUCUAUACUACAGCUCGUUGACAUUGAGCAGAAAGACUAGACCAAGUGAUAGAUCCAUUCAGGUUAGGAUGAACCAAUCUACAACAUAAGUUACAUAGCUAUUGAGAGCCCCCAUACACUUGGUGGUUCUAUCCCCUUAACAAAAGAAAGACUGGUAACGUUAGAAUCCCCAGCCAAAUCCCAAAAAUGACCACGAAAAUAUAAUAGAUAAUCCAACUCAUCCCAAAAUGAGUUCCUCAUCGGGUAGGUGGUAAUUCCAUGAACACCAAUAACCCAAACAGACCGGUCAUCCAAGCAGGCAAAGUGAAUGGAUAAGGCCAAGCAGCUCUGAUCAUCUCUAGAAUUGAACAAAACUCAAGAGUCACAUAGAACAAUGAAGCCCCAGGAAGUACCAACCAACUCUAGAGACAUAAAGGUCGGUUAUCUCUACAAAAGCAUUUGUAUUGCAUUUCGUGGAAUGGAAAAUAACUAAUUGCAACAACAAUCCUAAACUAUACAAAUCCCACCACAUGCCAUAUCUAUAAACUUCGAAAAAUAUAUAUAAACACAAUUAAUAACGCUCAGAAUUCAGAAAGAUUUUGCAUUUCCCUUAAUCCACUAUAUGGACAUGUAUUAAGAAACUCGUUCGAAAUUCAGCUACAACUCUCAGAAUCGACUCUAGUUUCAUAGAAUAACUCUACAAAACCAAAUCAACAAAAAAGACAAUAAAAGAUAGAAAAAAGGAAAACAAAAAAUACAAAAGGAAAUGAAGAAUACCUGUUGAAUGAUCUUGCGCUUAUUGUGACCGGCAGCGAGGUCAUCGAGAUUAACAAUUUUCUUGAUAUUGGUCUGCAUAUCACGGACAAGCUUGAAUUGGACAUCGGAUUGAAGAAGAGCGCGGGUGAUCUCGUUGAGACAUUCGUUCAAAACUUUCUCGUCGAUCACCGUCGCGCUGCUCAUCUGCUGGAGAGCACGAGAAAUGCUCCCCCCAAGCUGUGCUAACACCAUCUUUGCCGAUUCUUCGAAAUCUGAAUCCGAAUUGUUGAUCGAUUAAGAGAGGUUUUGAAUUAGGGUUCCGAUUUGGGGGUUUCUGAAAAAUUUAACCAACCUUCCUCUUCGCCUUUCAGAAGUUGAACAUCAAAAAUCCGAUGGUACAUAAACAAAAAAAGAACCAUUUUAUAAUAUCAAGGACCUGCCCGCAGCAGAUCCCACCUCUCGGCUUUUUCCCCUUUUUUUUCCAAAUGAUAAUUGCAAUAUUUGGCAAACACAACCAAAUUCAAUUUCUAUUACUAAUUGAAUAUAUUCUCUAUUUCUAGACUUAAAUUUAAAUUAAUUCUUUUAUAUUGCAUUAUUUUAUUUUAAAAAAACUAUUAAGUCGUAUUUGCUAAUAUUUUUAAUCUCGUCCUUCCACUCUAAUUGUAUUUUAUAAAAACAUCCUUUUGUUAUAUUUUUAAUUUAGGAUCGUAAUCAGGGUAAACCUAACUUUACGAAGAAAAACAAUAUAUAUUUUGAACUUGAACUCGUGACGAUGAAAAUAUUGAUGCUUUGUCAAGAUCGAUAGCUUAAAUUUACUUAUAUAUUUAUAGAUAUUUUAUUUAAAUCACAUACAUCAAACCAAAUUAAUGAAUAAUAAAGUUAAAAUUCGUCUCGACAAUUCAACAAACCUAAAAAGGGAAAAUUUUCCACCACAGGUGAACAAUUCCCACUAAAUGUCCAAGAAACUAGAUUGUUGUUGAAUUUUUUUGUGAAUGACUAACAUAUUGAGAUUGUUCCACCAUCACAUUUAGCAUUUUACUCAAUAAAAAAUAUUAUAGCAGUAAAAUUGAUUUCUUCAUUCACUGAACGGAUUGUUGCUUUCAUACUCCACUCUUAUUGAAACAAAACUUUGAGAAGUAACCGGUCAAGAAUUGAUGUGGAGUAAUAAUAAGUUAAAGAUUAGAUGUAAUUGAAAUAAAAGAUUAAGAAAAGUAAUCAAAGUAUAAUAAUGCAUCAAGGUUUCACCCUUGUAGAAAGGGGUGAGUGUAUGAUCAAAAUGUGAGCAAUACUACUUCACAAAUUUAUGAAUAAAAUUUUAUUUUGUUUCUUUCAUUAAUUUUAAAUAUCUGGUUUAAUGGAAAAAAGAAAAAAGAAAUGAAGAAACCAAUCAAACUCUGUCACGUGGCACACUCGCGAACAACUACGGGAACAGAGUGAAGAAGCAAAGAUAAUUUCGCGGUGGCCGUUAAAAGAGAGAGAUAAUAGAGCAAAAUGGCAGCGACGGCGACGGCGACCGGAGUAUUGAAGAUCGGCGUUCCGGCACCAGCUCCAGCUCCAGCUCCGCCUCCGUUAAAGGCAAAAUCAGGAAGGCAUCCAACGAAUUUUGCAAGCCUCACAAUGCGCUAUCCAAAUUACUUUCUCAAUACGCGGAUGAAAUUUCCUGCCGUUCGAGCACUUGGACAAGGAGGGAAUCCGAGCGGCGACGACGACAACGACGCCGGCGGUUUCAUCAAUCAGGUGUUUGUUUUCCCUAAUUGCCUUCUAUCUCUAAGUAUAUAAGAGCAUUAAACAUAUGCUUAGCAGAUUGCUGAUUCAACAUAGUAAUUCGAUGCCUAAUUAGCUGAAUUUAGGCUGAAUGAAAGAAAAAUAGAUGGAACUAUUCAGUUUACCACAUUUUAGCAGUAUUUUUACUGAUUUCUGGCUAGAUUCUAUAAGUUUCAUUGAUUGAAUUGGACUGGGAAAUCUGGAAUUUUAGUAAAUUCUUGUCAGGUUAGCUAUUCUGUCUUUCGAUUAUCAAACCUGGAAAAAGAACACUUGAACGCACAAAAAACUAAAGAACACUAAAAUAUGUUGUAUUGCGAUAAGAAAAGUAACAACAUAAACACAACCUAGUCUUUGCUAAUCUCUUAUAAAUUCUCCAAAGAAAAUCCGCAAAAUUUCACUCUCUCCUCGUAACCUUACACCCUCUAUUUAUAGAUAAAUGCCUAACAAAUCAAAUUUACUAACUAUUUACUAAGAUGUCUCUUUUAUCAACCAUACUGAUAUUCUACUAAUGAUCCUACCAUUUUCAUAACUAGAGAUCUUUGGGAGCUCCUUCUUGCAUUGAUUCAAAUUCUUCUUUGAUGAUGAGUGCAUGUUGAGCAACCAGUGUUUAGACCAUUUAUUAUUGAUGUUGUGCCAAAAUUGCUUUCAGGGCAAUGAUUUCUUCUACGGCACAAUAAAUCUUUUUGAAAUUCGAUUAACAAGGUUUCUAUUUCUCUUACCCAAUAAAUCUCUUUUAAGAUAUGCUUGAUAUUGACGGGAAAGCCUAAACUUAAACAUAAUCAAUAUAGAAUUGUAUAGAAAAAUGAAAAGAAAGUAGAGUUUCAAAACAUUAUAUUCUAUGCAAUAAAAUUAGUGAAGAUGGCCUGGAAUUAGAAAACUCAAACAUAGACUUACCGUUUUAAUUCCAAGAUAUACAAGUCCAACAUGUUCGUCAGCCUCUGCUUGGGAAUUUGCUCUUUGUACUCUCUAAGGUAGCAACUGUUUAGUUAAAUUACAUUUCUUGUUUUCAGACAUGGCAUAUUUAGACUGUGUAAUGGCAUCUCUGAUAGUUUGAUUUAGUUGUUGGUAAUAAUUUAUUUUGUUUAUGAGGUAGUGAAACCAUAUAAUAAUUUUAUCUCACUCCAUAGGUAAGACGUUGAGUUAUUUUCUAUAUGUCAUUAACAUGAGUAAAGACAAGCUUUGGAAGUAGUUUACAUUAUCUCUCAUGCCCUUCUCAAGAUUUAUUUGGAACGAAUUUUCUAAAAUAUGUUUUUAAGCGUGUUUUAAGCACUUCAAAAGUCAUUUCAAGCCGGUUCAAAAGUCAUUUCAAGCCGGUUCAAAAUAUGUUGAAGAAAAUGAUAUGAAUAUUUACUCGAUUGUAUCACUUGAUUAUGUGAUAACACAGGAGGAUGUGGAAUUUUUGUUGAAACUGGGGGCAGGUUCCAUAGCAGGGGGAUUUGGAAUAAAGUAUGGAAGCAUAAUAUUUCCAGAGAUAACCAAACCCAACAUUGUACAAGCACUUAUCAUGAUAUCAACUCCUGUGGUUGUAGCAAUAUGGCUUUUGAUCAAGCAAAGUCGUGAAGAGACACAAAGCUAACGAUCCACUGUCGUUUUUACAAGAUGAUGAAAGGAUUUUAACCAUCCAAAAAUUUGUAAAAGAAAAAAAAGUUAGAACUUGUAAAAGCACUAGAAAUUGAAAACAGAUGAAACACUUUAUAUUUUUGUGUUGCUCGAUAAGAUGCCUUACACUAUUCAUAUUGCUCGGACUGUCAAUAUUUGAUUGAUUAUCAGUUGAAUAAAUUACAAGUUUAGUUUUUAAAAUUUUCAGGUCUAUGUCUAAUUGAUCAAUCCGAACUAUAAAACGUUGAAGUUAAAUUCUUGAAGUUUCAAGUCUAAUCUAUUUGGUCACUACAUUAUACUGAAAACAUUUAAACAGUUGAUCCAUCGAAACGCCUAAACUAUACCAAUAUUAAUCACACAAUGAAUAGGAUGCAUAGAUAUCUCAAUUUCAACUUCAAUUUCGAAAUGGCCUCUUCUCCAUUUUUCAGUGGACAAAAUUCCAUUCUCAAUAAGUUAAAUCAUUUAUUUUUCUAAUGCUUUGAAUUAUUAUAAAUGAAUAUAGUUUGAAAUGUAAUUCUGAUCGAUACCAUCAACUAAUGAGACAAAAAACACUCAACUCUAUGCAAGUUAUGAACAUCCACUCUGAGCACAAUGGUCACCCCUGGAGGACGCAUGAAGAAACAACUCACGAAAAUUGCCAGAAAGUGUCUUUGAGCCAUUUUUGGGUAGGAGUAGAGAUCUAGAGCCAAGAAGGUUGAACAAAGACUUGUUUAGUUAGGUUUCAACCAGAGCCGAAGCCAAACUCGAGACUGCCUAAAGGUUAUCUUUCAGCCAUUUUAGAGCUCCUUGCGCUACAGACCUGCCAGUUCCAAAUUUUACAAAAUGCAAGAGUAAGCUAUUGAUAUUGUGUACACAUGAGGUUUGAAAUGUUCUCAUAACAAAACUCUACGAAGAAGGUAAGGAUUUUUCUUUUGUGAUUAUUAUUGAAAACGUAGAACCUUCUUGUAAAACCAGACAGGUAAUAUCCUCUGCUUAAUAUGGCACCAAUUUCAUGAUAAAUAGAACUUUUAGGCACAAGGUAUAAAUUCAGUUGGAUUUGAACUUUUCCCUCAUUUCCUCUUUCUUUUCAUCUAUCCAUUCAAACCCCCUUCAUCAAAGUGGGAUAUGAAAAAGUGCUUAGAAAUAGAUUUUUGAUAGUUCAACAAACAAGUAAGGAAGGAGAUUUGAACAUUUGACUUCUUGAUUAAGGACAUACUCUUAGGAUGAAGGGUAUAUUUAGAUAAUAAGUCUUCGUGAAGUUUCAGUUUAAUGUGCAAUUAAAAUUACCGGUCAAUUUCAAAAUGUAGAAUAAUUCUCGCUAGCACACCAACUUAUAAAUACAAAGAAAGGGAAAACAAGGUAAAAGAAAAUAAACAAACAAUUGUUUAAGAUCAAUUGUCCAAACAUGCAUUCAGAAAUCCAGAACAAUAGAAAUCUAUUUCUUAACAAUUUUUCAAGAAUCCCUUGGCAGAAAGAUUAGAACAGUAGAAGACUUUGGAGGGUAGCUUUUUAAAAUUUUAAAAGUAAAACUGGUUCCCAAGUUAUAAUCAUCAGAUUCAAAGAGAUAUGAUUAAAAGCACAGAAAAGAGAUCAUACCCAGCAAAAUCUUGUACUUUUUUCCAUAUAUCGUUCGAGUCUCCAUCAUCAGCAGAUUCAGUACUAUUAGCAACUGUCUUGACCUCAUUUUCUGUAAUUGUAUCUGCAAACGCAAUCAUUUCUAAAAAUUCCAAUAUUGUAAAUGUAAAUGUAAUUCCACUAAUUAUAGUCUAUGGAAAGAUAAGCCAAAAGGGAGAUAAAGGGAAGAAAAAUGCCCAUUAGCAAAAAAAUAAAAAUAGAAAAACGCAGUCUGUGUAACCAUUCUUCUUUUAGUUUCUGUUUUAUAAAAUUAUGCUUGUUUUCUCACCUUGUUUUUUAUGAAAUAUUUGAAUUCUUAGCCAAAUUCCCAAAACUAUAAAAUGUUUAUAACAAAACUUGGUUUUAAUUUUGUAAAGAAUUGAAGAAAUUAAUAUUAAAACAAAAAACAAAGUAAGCAAUAGGUAGAAAUUUUGUGCAUAACAUCAAUUUUCAGAAACACAAAAAUCAAUUACGAAGCACAUAUACUUUACGUGAAGCAGCAAACUGGUAUCUAAUAUGUAUCAGCUAUUGAUACACCCAAAUACUUAUAUAUAUCAGCUAUUGAAAUAUCGAAUAUGUGUGUCCACUAGACACGUGAAGGGGGCACACUAGACCUCUUUCUUUAUAUAUAUAUAUUAAAAAGAAAAAGUAGCUUAUCUGAUCUUCUCCAAACCAAAACUAAACAAUCUAUUAAAAAGCUCACUGUCCCAACCCAAAACUAAAAACAAAAAAUAAAAAUAAAUCAUCUGAGUCCCCAAAUAUCACAUUAAAAAAUAAAACAAAACAAAAUAAAAACCCCACUUGAAUAUCUUCAACAAUUCUACCUCUAAUCCUCUUUUCCGCCAUCUCAUAGGACUCUAGCAUAACAACCUUUUCUAUUGUAUUCUAUUAACUCUUGUAUUUCAAUAACUUUAUGAUGCUUUUUGUAUUGUAUUUAGUGUUUGUAUUGUAUUUUGUAUUAUUGUCAUUAACUUGACAUUUUGUGCUUUUUAGUGGAUGAAAUUUAUUAUGUUUGUGCCAAAUUUACAUAUAUCCUAGAAUAUAUAUACACUGACACGUAUAUAUCCUCAACGUAUCUAAAUCCUAGUUUUUUAGAAAUUGGCAUAACAUCAUAUAUCCUAUCAUUUUUUCUAUAGAACCUAACAACUUUCGCUGAGAAAAAAAUGAAAGAAUACAAGGACAUAAAAAAAAACAAGCCCACAUCAUAUCCUAUCAUAUCCAUAUCUCAUAUAUUUAUCUGUCUAUGCUUCAUAGGACCGAGACCAAAUUAUUGUCACACAAGACCUUAGUAACGCACCAUGACAUUCAAAUAAUUAUUUUUGGGGUUCAAAGUCUUCUGCCUUUCUUUUCAAUAAUAAUGUGUAUAUGGAUUUCCGUUGUAGGUGCUUGGAAAAACAUGCAGGAAAGAUCUGUGAAUAUUGCUUACUAGUUGGUUGUGGUUGCGAUUUUUGGCGAGUUCUGAAACGGCUCCCAGUCCCAGCAUUGUUGCUAAGUGAAGCGAGUUCUUCAAGCAAUUCUCGCUCUUUUUCACUGUAAACAUGGUUAUUGUUAAUAAUUACUUAAAGAUGAAGGAAAAGUAGAAAAGAAACAGAAUGAAUAACAUUUACAAGGAGAAAAUAUUUAUGUUGUAAAGCAUAGUAGUGUAGAUAUGGUUGUCAGUGUCACUCUCAGCCUAAUGAUAUUUCGGUAAACAAGACUGAAACCAGGAAAACAAGCAUGUCAUAUAUGAGAUGAAUAAUAUCAAGGCCUGAAGAUUAUACCUGGCUAACUAUGAACCCGUUUUAUAAGUUUAAAUGGAAAAGGCAUGUCCAUUACUCCCUCUAGUGGGUCUCUUUUAUUUCCAAAUAAUAGGUCAAGAACCCAUGUCAAAUGUUUCCAUUGUAUUGAAAACAAAACGUAAGUUGACUGUUUAAGAACACAUCCAAGAAAAUCUUCACAUAAAUAUCUUUUUACCUGAUACGAUUUGGUAUGGUUACUUUGAUUGUGAAUAAGUGGUCGCCUCGAAUUGAUGGCUUAUUUAGUUUUGGGACACCUUUCUUCGCAAGAACAAGAACAUCACCAGGCUGAGUACCAGGCGGAAUUUGAAGUUCAGCCAUACCUUCAACCGUCUUUACCUGAAUAGGCCAUAUCAAAAGAUAUUGUUAAACGCAAUCCUUGGUCAAUAGUUCAGUUAUACACCAAAAAAUGAAGUCCUAUUGUGGCAAAGCUAUUAACUAUUAUUUAAGUUUCCGAAAUGAAGGUUACAAUUGCAACAAUUUCUAGCUGGUAUAUCAAACACUACAAAAAAAAGCUCAUAAUAGACAGUGUUGUUUGAAUGGAAACCAUUAGCUUUAAGCAUCUCAAUUGAAAGGUAUCCCCAACAUCAAUACACUUGUACGUGCUGCAGGAGGCUGAUGCAUAGUUCCACACUGAAAAAAUUGGCCGCACAACCGAUCCAACUAUUUAUGGAGUUUAAUUAAAAACUAAUAGCUUGAAUAAAAAUUAAACCCUCUAAUGAGACAAAUUCAACAAAAUGCAUCACAAAAAGACUAUUAAGAGUUCACCUUGACAACAGAUCCCAUAAUGGCGUCCAGAUAACUUAUAGCUAUUGUUGAGUAAAGGUUGAUGCCAUCUCUUUGAAUUCCAGGUAUCUCUUCAACAUCAAGAUACACAAAAAGAUCUCCUGGAGGGCCCCUGACAAAGAAGAAAACCUAGAUGACUUAAAUGCAUGAAUAUCUAAUGAGAAAUUGAAAAUAAAACCUUGACAGAAAGACAGGGCAUUCCCAUUUCUCAAAAUAAAGGAAUCUUGAGGCCAUGUAUACUGAUGAUCCAUACAAAUAUUACAUUUCAAGGACGCGUGAGGACAGAUAAGUCAUAAGUGCCUCGCAAGGUUAUGGAUCAGAAACAUCUAGAAAACAGAUAUUUUUAAGGGAAAAAAGUUUACGCACACAUGAGCUAAAACAUUCUAAAGAAAGAAAAAGUAAAUAAAAUAAAAUCUUGAACCCCAUACCCUCUGGGUCCAGCAUCACCUUCUCCUGCAACUCUUAGGAUACUGCCUGCACUGACUCCUGGAGGAACUUUAACCUUGAUGUUUUUCUUAACACGGAUACGCCCUUCACCAGAACACUUCCGACAGAAAUCAGAUAUGACCUCACCAUUGCCACCACAAUUUGGACAAACAGAGACCUGACACAAGCAUGAAUUACAAAUAAAAAACUAUCCCCAAUAAUGAUUAAUGAAUGAUAGAUAAAGCGCUCCAAUCAAAUCAUAUCAUAUAUCAAACAAAAGCUUCUGGCUGAAAAUUGAAUGAAAGCUGUAAAGUGAACAAUCAAUGUAGCAAAUAAAGAUUAAAUGAAUUUUCAAACUCAGCCUACUAUUAAGUCAAGGAAACCAAAGAACAAGUUCUAAAGCAACAUUGAUGCCCAUACCUGAGAAAACAAGCCAAAAGGUGUUUGCUCAGUUCUCAUAACUUGACCUCUCCCUCCACAUGUUGAGCAAAUCCUCAUUUUGGAGCCUACUUUAGAUCCAGUACCAGUGCAGACUUCACAUGUUUCCAGAUGGGACAGCUCAAAUUCUUUCUCUGAUCCAAAUAUGGCUUCAGAAGAUCCUAAAUUGAUGUCAUAACUGGAUUCAAAAUAUUGUGAAGUUAUUUGUUCGUCAUUUUAAUAAAUAUGGAUUAUAACUUAUAAGAAAUAAUUUCCUAUCAAAUGGAGACAGCCAAAAAACAUGUAAUCAAUUAAAGUAGCUGUAAUUCCAGUCAACUAUUAUCUAUAACAGUUCAUUUCUCUUAAUGAUUGUCUUUACUAUCCAAAAUAAGUAGUGGUUGUUUGAAAAGUUCAUGACCAGAAUCGUGGUGCUAGAAUUGUUUGCUUGGCAAAGAAGAAAUUCCCGUACCUAAAGUGUCUGAUGUUGUCACAGUAGGAAGAAGCCCUCUGUUUCAACUUUAAAGUAGAAUUUCAAGGAUAAGAAGAAGAAGAUGGUUUGAUGGCCUUUUAAUGUAGAGUUUCUUACAUCUCCCUCAGUAUCAUCUCAGAUAAUGAGAAAACUUAAAGCCGUCACAACUCUUUGUUUAAUAGACUCUUCUUAUGUGCAAUCACAUGCUUUACCAAAAACAUGAAAAAAUGGCAACCAUGGCAGCUGUAAUGAUAAGUGCACAUGUUAGAGACUAUGGUGAUGUGCCAUGCCUCACCUCUUACCAUAGGCUAACUAAAUGCGUCCAGAAGAACCUAUGUUAGCAUUAAGUACAACUAUCAUCUUUUAAAAUGAAAAUAACCACUUUCAUUUAGAAAAAAAAAAUGAAUGAGUAUCAUUUAGCCAUUCGGUCGCUGGACCUUAUGAAAGUAGGAAGUGGACGUAGAGAAAGGCAAUUCAAGUUCAAUGAAACGUAUCUUGUUUUAAAAAACAAAUAAAACAGUAAAAAAUUUGUAACCCAUAUCCCCUAUAACGAAGAUGGAAAUCAGUAUAGGUACAAUUAACAUCUCCUUAGUUGAAUCUGACUGACACAUGAAGGAAAUAUCACACUACUCCAAAAAUAGUAACAAAACAAAAACGUAUUUUUCAAGCAUGAUUCACACUGUUACUCACCGUAUGUCUUCACCCUUAGUAAGGGUACUGCUACGACGCGUGCGGAACCCAGUUGGAUCCAUACCACCAAAUCCUCCCAUGCUUGGUCCAAAAAAUGUCUCAAAUAAAUCAAAUGGAUUAGUCUGCAACAAUAAUAUAGUAUAAGGCCCAAAAUUUCUUGAUGUGAAAAUGCAUCAAGCAAGCACUAUUUCCGUCAGAAAUUAGAGAUGAUAUCAAAUAACAACAAUAACAACAAUACCGUAUAAGCACUAGAACCUCCUACUGUACUCUUAACACCAGCUUCGCCAUAUUGAUCAUACAAAGCCCGCUUCUUAUCAUCUGAAAGAACCUGCAGCAUUGUACUUGAGAUUCAAAGGACAAUAUUAUAAUAAGUGUGAAAGUAUGGAAUUCUAAAAGUGUUUCAUCAUCAAUCGAUGAUGCCACAAAAUAACGAACCAACUUUCAGAAAUAACAAAUUUGGAAGAGAUUGUGACAUAGAUGGUUUAAGGAAAUGCAAAGACUUAAAUAUUGAUAAUGAAGACUGAAAGAUCACACAUUUCAGAUAUAUUUGUAAUUUGAAAUGAAAAGUUCUGAGAAAAUGCACCACAUCCAUUACGGUUAAACUUUUUUUCCUCAAUCAUACCUCGUAAGCAGCACUGAUCUCUUUAAACUUCUCAGUUGCCCCAGGUUCUUUAUUGACGUCUGGGUGAUACUUGAGAGAAAGGAGAGAAUUUAAAGAGAAAAAAAAAGUCAAUAUGGCUAACAAAUUUAUUAAGAAUAUGUCUAGGCUUAGGUUGGUUGCAAUUAUGAGAUGAUUAUGGAAGAAUCUUAACAACUUUUUGUUUGGUAAAACUGAUGGUAAAAGAAAGUAGUAAAAUUACUUUUUAAAACACAAAUUGAUCGCCACAAUUUUUAAAAUAUGCUGCUAAAAGUAAAAUUAGAUAUCAAUUCAACAAAUUAAUAUUUCUCUUCUCCUGCAACCAAUAUACUAGUACUAGAUAUAUAAAAGCAAUGAUUAAAAUUUUAAAAAAAUUGUUAAGGAGUGACAUCUGAUUCUGCUUUUUACAGCUAGGGAACAGAUUCUAAAACUGUUUUAUUAGAUUAUUUCGCAGUUAGUUGUACCAAACCAGUUAAGAUUAUUUCCUAAUCACUCUUAAGCUCUGGAACAAUCCCUAAUGCGUCUUUAGAAUAACAAAGUUACCGUAUUCACAUUUUUCGCUGGCAUUAAGCUUAUUCAAUAUUUUAGUUCAUAAACACCAAAUAAGAGUAAAUACAGCUUAUCGUCCACAGUUAUAAUAGUCAUGCCUCAUGGACUUCUCACAAAAAAUCAUCAGUUAUUAUUGGGAGUAAAGUAGUAGAAUUAUCAGUGAUUAACAACACAUGAAGAAGUUCAAAGAUGGCAUUGAAAGCUUAAACAAACAAACCCUUUUCAGAGAAUCUUAUUUCCCUACAGAUAAACUUCUCAAACAACUAAUCUCCACCUUGAUCACGAUUACCAAAUUACACAAACGCACACACAAAAACGAACAAAUCCCGUACCUGACGAGCCAAUUUCCGAUAAGCGGCCUUAAUUUCCUUACUAUUAGCAGAUUUUGGGAUGCCGAGAGUGGCAUAAUAAUCUCCAGAAGCACAAACAACAAGUCCUAGGCGUCGUCUCGAAGAGACCCUUUUAUUAAAUCGGGAAUUGGGAGAAGAAGGAGAAGAGUUAAAGGAAUAGGAAUGCACAGAGAGGAAGUUUUUGUGGAACCUGAGUUGGGUUCCACCAUGGAAGAAGGAAGAAGAUGAGGGUGAAGAAGAAGAAGCAGAGAAACGCUCAAAGGUGAGGGGAGAUGGAAGAAGAGAAAGAGAUGAAGCGGCCAUUAAAGGCAAUACUAGAAAAGAAAUGGGUUUGACGAGAGUGCUAAAUUGAGGAGAAAUGGGUUGGAUUGUUCAUCGUUUUGGUGGGAAAUUUUACGUUUGCUUUGGAGACUGGAUGAUAGAGAAUCAGCAGCAGUAGCAGAAGAAGAAGAAGAAGAAGGGGAUCGAAAGAUGUGGUCUGAUUUUUCUUAUUACCACGUAAUGCCACUCUUUUAAUUUUGUUUAGGGAUCUUUUUAUGAGUUUUUUCCUUUCCGCUAAAUUGUAAAAAAUGACCCAAACUUUUUACUUUGUUUUGAAAGAUAUCUCUAAACUUUAAACUUUGUUCUUAAAUUUUAAAGUUUCGUUUAAAAAAUAAAAUCCAACUAAUGAAUAUCCAAAGAGAUUCUUGUUAAUUACAUCAUUAAUAACACCAGUCAUGUGCUAAAUUCAACUGUUGGUGUUUUUAUUACAUAUAUUUUGUUAAAUUAAAGGUUAUUUUCAAGAAAUUAUGAUAGUGAAUUCUUAUUUUUCUUUUAAAAAAAACUAACAGUCCUCUGAUGAUCAUCUAUUAUAUAGAAAUCGAGUCAAUUUUGUGAUUUUUUAAUUUAUAGGUAACUUCUCAUUCUCAUUUUACGUUGCUCUGCAAACGAUAUCAUCAAGUUGAAUAUAACCUUUUAUUAAAAGCUAUAGGGGAAAACAAUAAAAAUUCACAACAAAGCUGUGGUUGCAAUCAAACCAUUCAAGGCUGACUGAUAUGACCAAACUCAAACUAAGCAAACACACUGAUUAGCACACAGUACUCCUAUUCUCUAUUCAUAGGAAACCAAGAAGACGGUAAUGAACAUGCUCCAUUCCUCCCUGCUCUCCCUCCUCCUUUCCUCUCUACUUUAGAUCUUUCUGCCAGCAAUAACUUAGUUCUUUACAUUCUUGUUUGCUAGAAGACAUCGGGAUGGAAGCGGCCUGGAAUCGAGCUGCUUUGUUGAGCUUGUUUCAAAUGCAUUGUCAAUGCAUAAUUGUUUAUCUGUAACCAAAGACACAGAAGUUUUUUUCAACUGGUUAGAAAAUGUUGCACCAACAUGAACAUGUUUAAAAACUUAAAACAGGUCGGUUGGUAGUGGAGAAGAUAUUUCAAAACGUUCUACAUUUAAUUCUCACCUCUAAGGUUCUGAGCUGCUCUUGAUAUUGAGCUACCAACUGUUUAAGGUGCUGCAACUCUAGAUUUUUAUCCUCAAAUUCUUUCUGGCGUUCAUGCUGUAUUGCAACUGCUCGCUUCAGAAUUGUAUUUUCUCGUACAAGUAAUUCAAUCUGUUCCUUUAGUUGCAUAUUUUCCUGAGCGACAAUGAAAAGAACAUAAGUUUACAAGUAAAAAAGCCCAAACCAAUUAUAGCUGCUUUCAAAUGCUCCAAAAAUAUAUCAAUACCCCAAAAUUGUCCCCCUUGUACGUGAAAAUUUUGGAACUGUGGGCACUAAAAUUAAAUUACCUUGUGAAAAUUUUGUGCAGCAUCAACACUAGCACGUGCAGUAAUUGAGUUCUCUAAAGCCUCUAAUGCCCUUGCUGCACGAGUCUUAGCAUCAGCUACUGUGGUAGCGUUCGUCAUUUCGACAACAAACAAGUCAAUCCAUUUUCUACCAUCAAGAGAAACACUGCUUGAAGAAUUCUCGGAAGCAGCAACCUCUCCAUUGUUAGCGAUUGAACCUGAGAAUUUUAAAACGUGCACUAAAUUAUUUAUUUUUACAGAAAAUAAAUAAGAUAAAGGUCUAACAAUGCUUUAUGCAGAAAAUGCAUGAUAAGUUUGUAACUAAUAUCAAUGUUUUACUAGCUGAAGACAUAGAAAUAAGAUGUCCAGACUAGGAAAAAAGAACAUAUUAGGAACUUAUCAGGUGCAACAGCCGCAAUACAACAUCAAAGACAAAAGAAUCAUAGAAAAUUAUAAUUCCUCGUGCAGAUUUAUCUCCAGCAAUUCAGAUUUAAGGUUUUUGCCGACUGCUUAUGGUAUAUAUACCAGCCAAAUUCAGUAAACAUAAGUUUAUCAACCCAAACUACAAACAGGAGAGUAGGUAGCAAAUAAUUGGGAUUCCAAAGUACGGACAGCAAAAUGGCGACCCAUUAGAUCUCUUCAAAGAAAUAAGCAUGCAUCAACACAUUCAUCAUCAUAAUUAUAAUUAAAAUCAUGAAUGAACAGAAACAAGGAAACUACAUAUGAAGCAUCUACUUCAUUACUUAGCAUUCUGUGAUACCUUGAUCCAAAUUUGUCUCUGGUUCCGCAGAAGCAACAGGAUUUUCAACAGCAGACCCCAAACACAGGUCACUCAGACUUCUGAUAGCAGCAUCCAAGUCAUUGCCACAUUCUUCAAGGGCUCUCACAAGAAGCUGAAAGGCAAAAAUCAAAGCAUGAUAAUUAAAAACUUGGGAAAAAGACAAACUUGAAAUAUCAAUCAUGACAUAUAUGGGAGCAGUUAUCUAACAAAACACCGAAAUGGAUGCAUCAAAAAUUGAACGACUCAAAUUUCAAGCCGCAGCUAAUUCAAAUUACUUGAUAUUUCAAGUUUCAGAAGCAUAUUCAACUAUUAACAUACAAGAAGAAGAACACUACAUGAUCCCCCCCCCCCCCCCGGUCUACAACUCUUGUAAGAUUCAGGUUAUAAUCCUAUCAUAUCAAUAAAUAUCAUAUCACACACAAAAUAAGAACAAUAACCAAACCAACGAAGUACGGAAGCUUCUGAAAUUCAAACCAAAACUGAAUCUAAACCCAAAAGGAAGAAAGAAGAAACCUGACGAUCCAUCUGAGGAAACAAAUGCUGUAAGUGAUCAAUAUGAGAGGGAGCAGCGAAUCUAAUAGGAGAAGUAGAAGUGGAGCAACGGAGGCGCUUGGCAAUGGGAGGCGAAGGUGGGAGUUCUUCAAAGAAGGAUCUCUUGGAACCGCACACCACAGCAGACAUGGUCUCCGGGUUGUCGCUUGCAGAAGCUAAUUCCUAAAGAGGCCUUCGUCGCCGGCCGGAGCAAACAACAAAUUCAAAUUCGAGAGUAUGAACAGAAAGAAAGGGAAAAAGAGAUUAGGGUUUUGGAAGAUUGCUUGGGAAAGAGGAGGAAGAAAAAGAAUUUGAUUUCUUUGGGGUUAGGUUUUUUCAAUCUCUCUGCUUUACCCUUUUCAAGGGCAUUAACAUAAACAACAAAUGGGGAGCGUUUACAUGCGAUUCUUGAGGAUUUAUAUGGAAACAAAUAAACAAUUAAAUAUUUGAAUAUCAAACGGCAAAGGAUAGAUUUCUUUGUAAUAUUUAUAAUUAAUAAUAUAUGACAUUCUUAUAUUAAAUAAUAUUCUAAUGUAAUUAAAUACCUAUUUUUAUUCCAAUUUCUUUAAUUAUUAUAUGACGUGGUUUUUUAAUUAGAACUUUAUCAAUUCGUAUUUAGAUCAUUGAAGCAUUAUUUUUACACAUGUAUUAAGCUUCUUUGAAUAAGUGUAAAUUGUAGAAAAAUGUGAGAAUCAAAUUAAUAAUGGUUGAAAAAUUGGAAGGUGGUUGUUUAACAUUACUUAGAGAUCUCCCACAACACCACAUCCUAACAAUUAGAAAGAUAAUAAUAAAUCAACAAAAGAGAAGCAAUAAUAACAAAUAAGUUGGCAAUCCAAUUUGGUGAUACAACACCCAUGUUUGAGGGAAUCGUGCCCAAGAAAAAUGAUCCACUUAUAUAUUCAAGUUAAGCGAUUUACAAUGUUGUACUUAUGUGUAGGGCGUAGAUUGUUAUCUUGAUAAUCGUAGAGAGUAAUUCGGUCAACACCAAGGCUCUCCCUAGAUGUGAAGCUCUCUCUCUUUAAAACUUACACUCUCCGUAAGUGGGUGACUAUUAGCUUGUCGUGAAGUACUUAGGUUCCUCAAAACUUGAGUCUUUCCUAUUUAUGUGUGUGAACUUCAUUAUCUCAAUUUAGUGUAAUUUGGAAGUAAUGUUCUUUCCGGCCAACCACUUAGAAUUUUGUCACCACACUCGAAAGAAGUCCUUUGCUACAAACACAAUGUGUUGUGUCAAAGUUUCUUUGAAAAAACAAGUAAAAGAGCACGUGCAACAACCUUGGCAAUGAAACCUUCUUAAAUAUAAACAGCACAUCAAAACAAAGAAAGAACAAUCUCAUAAUAAAUUGACAGAGCUCCAUAAAAGGGAAACACAUCCCAAUGGAUCAAAUUUGAGAAUAAUAUAAAUAUGGAAAGAUAUAUUAUGCAGUAAACUGCUGAGACAAUGUCACUCGAAAUAAGAUAUGGAAUAACCACAUAAGCAUUUUAUUACAUUUGUCAUAGUGGGAAAAGUUUAUUACAUUUGUCAUAAUGUGAAAAGUUUGUGUUUUUAUUGUCUUUUUUGCAAGGCAUUCUAAUUUAAUGGUAACCAAACUUUCCGGAUUUAAAUUGAUAUUUGAUCUUAAUUCUAUUGCUAGUACAUGGAAAUAUAUCAACUUUUAACAGCAAAAUUUAUAUUUAAAAUGCUUUAGUUUUAAAUUUUGACACUAAAAAAAUUGCACAAAUUUACAUUUUUUAUUAUUUAAAUUUAGUUUUGGUCAAGGGUAUUUAGCUCAUCAAAAUAAGUUGGAUUCGGUCGUUAAAAAUUAUCAACUUAACGUUUUGUCCAUCAACUCACCCAACUUAAUCCCAGUUCAUUCUCCAACUCACCACAAUCAAAAACUCCAACUAUUAGCCUUGUUGACGACUACUAGUGUCACACUUUGGUGACCAACUCCAACGACUACAUUCGCAUGGCCAACUCCGUGUUCUAGCAAUCACCUCCAUUGACAACUUCGAAUACCACCUUCCACCAUCAACCUGAAUUCCCGCAACCACUUCCAUGUAAUUUUUAAGGACACGUCAUAACACAAUUACAUAACACAUGAAACAACGAAAAAAAAAGUAAUAAAAUGAAGCCAAUUUUCAUACUAUUAUUGUAAACAUGACCUAACUUCACUGCUAACUCCAAAGAUGAAAAGAGAAGUGAAGCAAAAGAACUUUUUACAAAACUAUCCAACAACAAAUGGAGGCUAAUAUUUACAUUUCAGAAAUCUUCCCUCUAUUUCCUUUCCUCCUAGGCCUACUCCAAUCUAACUUGCCUUGUUCAUAAAUCAAAUGCUUAAGUUUCAAUCCCUACACUUCCUAGCUAAGUAAGUUCAUUACCUUGCAGCUUGUGUGAUUCCAUGUCCCAUUUCCAAUCUCAAGCAAUGCGAAAAGCAGAGGAAGCCCUAUUCCUGCCUUCUGAUGCACUCUUACAGAAACCCCAUAUCCUGGAAUACAAUACCCGUCCUUUGAACAAAUUUGCCAGCUGAAAUCCAGCUCUCGCCACAGAAGCAACCUCCUCUCGGUUCGAAUCGUCCCUGUGAACUUGAUAAUCCUUGAAAUCGUCUUGACCAUCUGCUUGAUUCUCUUCAACAGCUUUUGAUUCUGGCGAUAAACUUUUAUGGGAAAUAUCAGUUUACUGUCUAAUAGAACAGUUCAAGAAUAAACCAUCAACUGUUCAUUGCAGAAAAAAUAAAAUAUUGGGAAAGUAUGCAUAGUUUGUAGACUGUACAAUGGGACUAAAAAACAAGCCAUCUAAAAUCUAUGGACACUUUAGUUUGGCUAGUUUGGCUAGUGUAUCUGUACAACAAAUGAAUUGUACAUGCAUAAAUCACUUGUUGAGUUAGAUUAAGAAAACACAUGUGACAAUUUUAAUAAAUUUUGAGCGUAAAAUACAUCAACUUUUUAAGCAUAUAAAUCUCAUUUACUAAAAAAAAUUUAUAUAAAAAUGAUAAAUAUUUUAAUAAAGGUGUUAUUGCCAUAUCAUAUCCUAAAUUUUUAGAAAAGAAAGUGUCUCAAUAUCAGUGUCGUGCUGUAUCCAUCUCUUGUAUUCAUCUUUUGCUUCUUACAAGCCAUCAAAUCAAGCAAUUUUGUUCAGAAAAGAUAACGGUAUGUGCCCGUGCAUUGGCAUGUUUAUGCAUGUGCUAGUGCAGCCUAUAAAGUGAACAGAUAAGAAAUGACACUGUUUUGCAAGAAACGGACACAUGUGCAACAUCAGCUAUAAGAAAGAACAACUUAGAAACUCACAACAGCAUUGCUUUGCAAGGAACAGUUUGGUUCUUCCUGUCUUUCUUCAUCGACAAACAGUUGAUAGACAUGUGCCUAAUAAACUGAAGCUGCAUUAUCACAACAGGGGAAAACAUUAAAAGCUAGAGAACACCUAACGUUUAACUCAACGAACAAGCAAGAGACACAUCACAAUAUUCUCACACCUGAUCACCAUCCUUAAUCCCAUAACCUUUAAUGCAUGUCUUGUCAUCAAUAAGCUUUUCGCCUUCAUAACAUAAGCAGAAAUGUCCCCAGAUAAGUGACCUAAGAACAUGUACAUUCAGCAAUGUUGAAUGUGGUGAAAAUAAACAAAACGACGUUCAUAGAAAACCCAAUAGCAUCUCAAAGCUCCUAAAAGGAACAAAAACAAAAUCUCCAGUGUAAAAUUAGCCAUAAGUCUCGUAAAUAGUCAGUACUACCAUGUAAUCUUGUAGUGUUCACUCCCCCCGGGGGAAUCAAAAACCUUCUCUAUUGCUCGUUUAAGAUCUGCUACUGUACUGUUCCGCGAUACUCGAAUGCCUGGAUAGCCAAAGAAUCAAAAAUCAGUUUAACUUGUAGUUGACACUGUAACCAUAUUCCCGCAAUAUAAAGAACAAGUAGCUUCAAAUCAAAUAUUUAGUUAUUUUCACAUGAUCUCCACACCUACAAAUUAAAGCAGAGAAAAACUGCAUAAACUAAAGAAUCGAGAUAUUUAAACAUAUCGCCGUUGCAUUUUUCUUAGCCAUUGUAGCCAUAAGCGCCAAACACCUUAAUUACCAACUAUUUUCUAAACGCAUUUUACCGCUACAGCGUUAUCAAGAAACCAUACUCCGUUCUGUUCUCUUAAGCAAGUUAUAUUAAAACAGUUUCCAGUACAGUUUCCUUCCAUCUUUCAUCAUUCAUUUUCCAUAUCGAUUCUCAACCACCAGAAAACCGACAGAAACUUCACCGAAACACAGAUUCUCUACUCACGUCUUCCAAGAAACAACAGAAGAAAAAGAAAAUGGAGAAAAUGGAGUAGGAAUCACCAAAAACAGAACCGUCGAGCUUCAGGACGAAAAGAUCGAUAUGAUCCUGACGAGGAAGCAAGCGAUAAGGCCUCCGACUGAGAGCGUCGGAGUCAGGAUCAAAGUCGAGCGUCGGCGGAGCAAAACACCGGUAAUCAAUGAAGCGGGUGAAACGCCAUAAGUUAGCGAUCUUGGUCCGGUCGGGGCGAGGAGAACUGGUUGGCAUUGUAGAGGUGUGAUGAAGGAGUUUUAGGGUUUGGGAUUCGGAAUGGGAAGGAAGAGAAAUGGAGGGAUUUAGGGGAAGUUUGUUUUGGUGGUUUGGUUCUGAGCUUUGAAAUGGAAAGGAGAGGACCGUUACAAAUUGCAAUGGAAGGAGGCUUAUUUACUUUAUGGACUCGCGCUAAGAAUUCUACUUUUUAAAUUCGCUUUUUUUUUUAUUGUUUAAUUUGGAAAACCGAUUUUGUUCGAUAAUUCCUUAAAAUAAUAUUGAAAAUAUGUUUUAAACAAAUUUUAUUUUCAACAAAUUUUAUUAAAUAUUUUGAAAAAAAUAUAUUUUAAAUUCAUUUCAAUUUAGUUGUUACCGUUCUAAUUUUAAAAUUUGAGUUUUGUUUUGAUUUGACUUUCACGGAAUGUUUGGGAGAAGGUGAACUCACAUUUUCCGAAUGGUUAUUAUAACUCUAAUUUUAUCCCACUUUCCCUCAACAUUUUCUCAUUUAUAAUUAACUCAUUUAAGUUUAAAUACUAUUUAUUUAAUUUUUUUUCUCAUUUAUAAUUUCUAUGCUUACGAGUUUUGUUAAUUUUAAUAUUUUUAUUUUAAAAACACAGCCUAUAUUGCAAUUUGUGUAUUGGAUUUAUAAUAUGAUUUUUUAAAAACAAAUCAUGACACCACUUAUUUAACCAUUCCCCAAAUAUAUCAUACAAAACUCUUAUCCCAAACACAUCUUAUCGUUGCAUUUAUAUUCCUUUUCCGAAACACAUUUUAUCAUAAUCUUACAUUUAUCCUAAUACUAGGUUUAUCAUAACCAUAAACUCCCCAUAGUUCAAACCUUCUUCCAAACGUUCCUAAGGUUUCAAUAAUUUGAUGUUCAUAUCAUUUGAUUCUUAUGGAUAAUAUUGCUUUACCUUUCUAUAUCUAAUAUUUCUCACUCAUUUCUUCAAUACCCUCUUACUCUCCCUUUUGUUAAUUAUUUGAUGCUUGUUUAUCUAACAUAAAAAAACAUAGAAAUUAAGAGUUUAAACAAAUCGAUUACCGUUUUAAUGGGGGAGAUUAUUAACUUUAUUUCAUUUUUUAAAAAAGUUAUUUUUGCAACGAGAAAUUAAGAGUUUAGUUCAAGUACCGAGAGGUAUUUUUGAAUUUUAGCAAGUUAAAGAGUGUUUUAUAAACAAAAUUUAAUUUUUUAAAAACUCAUUUUAUAAGUUGGUAUUUUAAUUUACAUUUUUUGACCCAAACUAUAAAGUCAAGAAAUUUUCGACAUUUUCUUAUAAUUUUAUUUUCAACUUUAGUUCCAAAGCUUGUCAAUAAUUUUAAAGCAGGGGAAGAAAACCUUCUAAACCUCCUCAUUUAUUUGUCUUAUACUUUAAUAUUUAGACAAAUUAUAAUAUCCAACCAUAAACACCAAUAGAAUCACCAUUAACCAUCAAGCUCCCAAGUAAGAAUGGAACAAGUCCACGCAUAUGUAAACUUCAAUUGUCCUUUUUUUUCGAUCUAAGUUCAAUAUAAUACACAAAUAAUAAUUUAUCGAAUACAUAGAAUAUUCUUUCUAUAUGUGAUAUUUAUAAAAAUUGGACGAGUAAAAAUAAUAAAUAUUUUAAUAUUAUGAAAGUUGUUAUGAAUAGAGAAAAUAGUUGAUAUUGGAUAGCCAAAUAUGAGCUAAAUCUAAACUAGAUGUAGUACGUGUCAAUUAAUCACGAUCGAUUUGUUAUUUUCUAGGGUGGAUCCAUUGUUUUCCAAAAAAAUUUUAAGAAAAAAUAAAAUUUAACUAUUAAAAAAAAGAAAAUGGUCAAAAAUUUAACAUUUUGAUAAAAUUUUUACCAUUCGUAAAAAUCUAAAAAUUGUUUUUUUAAUGUGAGAAUAUAAAAUAAAAUGAUACACUAUUUAGGAUCGUGAUCAAAUUCCUUAUAAAUACUCUUAUAACUCUCUAGGAUGGAACUUUAUGCUUAGAAUUCGUAUUUCUUUGUUCUGCAAAGGAUUGUUACUCUUUGUUCCUUAUCUCUUUUGAGUAUGACACGUGAAAGUCAGGUGAGUUUUUAGGAAUAUAUUUUUCUCUGUCUUUUGUUGAAUUUAUUUUCGGAACACUUAAAAGAGAAUUAAAAUCAUCGAAAUAAAAACUCAAAUCUUAUACGGUAAAACCUAACUACAUACAUUAUAAUAUAAUUUAAGAAAACCAAGAAAUAAAAAAGGGGAAAAAAUUAAAAAGACGAAAGGGCCGAAGAUUUGCAAUUCUCCAAUUUGCUGCGACAAAAUUCAAUCUUCUUCUUCUUCUUCUUCUUAUUUGCUCUCUCUUCUUAUCUCCUUCAUCGCAAUCCAAUUCUUCAAGAACAAGAACAAGAAGAUGCGGCGGUCUGCUACAAGGAAAACCGGUCAACCCAAUUCAACUUCCGUUAAUUCUUCCGCAGUCGAUCUCUUUCGCUCCGGUACUUGAUCUUUUAUUUUUUCCACAAUUCCAAUUCAUCUACUGCUAAAUCUCGCCAUAGACAUCGAUGAUCGUCUUUUAUAUGUAUUGUGGUUCAUUUUUUAUUAAUUACUGUUAUGAUGAUGCCUUUGUAUAGGAGGUUUUUAUGUUUACCAUUUUAUGUGCGCAUCUUGUUAUGUUGAUGGUUUAGUUAGUUUUUAAAUCGAGUGGGAUUUAAGUAGAUGAAUAGAUUUAGUAUUUAGCUUCAAUUGUGUUCACGCGCUAUGAAAUUUGGGAAUUUGGAGCGUGUGUUAUGAUUUUUGAGUUACAUGUACUUGAGGACCUGUUGGAGUUAAUCCGAGAUGAUAUGGAGUGAGUUGAAGGUUUGAUUGGAAAGUGAGAGUUGUCGAGUUGGAAAUUGAAAGCAAGAGAAUCUGAACAUGCAAACUAUUUUUAUACAUUGUUUUCAGUUUUUUUUUCCACAUUUAAUUGAGUGAAGAAUGAUGAACUUUGUUGGGUGAUCUAUUGGCUGUUUUUAAGAAAAACUGUGUGGUUCGUGGCUUUCUUAGUCAUAUGGUAGUAACUAGUAAGUAUCAUGCUGUUUUGUUCUUAUGAGGUGAUUUAUGUGAAAGUGUCUGAUUCUUUUUAAAUCUUCCACAAUAUAAGCUCCUAUUUUUACUCUAUUUUCAAUUCUUAUGAACUCGAUUCUCAAUUUAUUCAGCCUCAAGUAGAGCAAGCUCAAAAGAGUUGGAACGGAUCGAUAGCCUAUUUUACUCGUAUGCCAAUCCCUCUUCUGGUUUGAUCGAGUAAGUCAACUCUGGUCAAUUGAAAUAUCUAGUUUUUCAGCAUUGUUAGUUAGCUUUGCGUUCUAUCAUAUAUAUUCAGUAUUGUAAUGUUAAAUUCUUAGCAAUAUUCCAAUAACAAACUUCCAUCCAUGUUCUUUACAUGAUCAAGGAGGCUAUUCUCCUUAUCAUUAAGGACACUUCUGAGUGCUUGUAUGAAUAAGAUCCUUAUAGGUGUACGUAGUACUGACUAUUUCUCUU
rnacentral:lncRNA from 1 species